GUAAAGCGCCAUGUCUCUUAUUCUUGAUCAGCUAUAGCUCUGGAGUUUUUGCAGAUUUUCAAAUAAAACUCAGAGAUUCCUUGUAUGACUCUCUCAGAUCUCUCUUUGGUGGUAUUUCUGGAUCCUUACCAAGGCAGUGAUGGUAUAUGCCUUCUCUCAAAAUAUGUGGUAUUUGUGGUAUAAGACAUAGUGACAUUGCCUUCUCUCUCAUCCUACUCUAAUAAAGCGUUUGAUAUCUGGAGCUCAUAGGUGGGAGAUAAAGUAUACAUACUUACAAAACAUUUAUUGCAAAGUCAAACCAUGGAUCUAGAGAAACAAGUCAAUAAGUCAAUUCAAGAUGUGCAUGUGUGGCGAAUGAAUGGUGUAUGGUGAUGAUGGUGAUAAUCGGUGCUUCCGGUGGCGCCUCUUCUUCGUGUACAACUAUCUUCUCUCACCACACCUGACUCAGUGCUACGGUCUCCUUAGGACAAUUUUGUUCAAGCUGUAUGUCUUCAGACCUUACCACUUCUCCUUCGUAGUCUGCCCAUCUGUCCUUGAUGAUUUGCCUCCUCUGGUUGUGGUUGCGUUGUCUUCUUCGUGUCCUGACCUACUUAGAGUCUUCAACUAUAUAGUUAGGGUUAGUAAAAUAGCGACGUACCUUCUCAGAGGGGAAGUGCAUGUGGGCUUCUCCGGUUCCAAUGUAGAUGAUUGCUUUAAAGGUGCUUCAAGCCUCUUGGUAGUAGUCGUUCGUGAAAGCAUAAAAGGCGUCGGAGUACCAUACUGCAUCGAAUUGGCGCUGGGGCCUAGACCUUGAGGCUCCAUAUGGAUCAGUGUAAUACCUACCCGUACAAGAAGGUCGGUUUGUCCGCUGGUGAUCUUGGCACUCCAGCCAUGUCUCCUGUGUCGGCUCCUACGGCUGAGCAUGUUGAACCCACGGGUCCCGAAGGACUCGGCGGUUGUAGUCACGGUAAUGUAGGUACGUUGCUUCUUCCGGCCUGGGAUCAGCUCCAUACUAGGUGCAUUCUUGAUGGGUGGUCAUCCUUUCAGAUGGCACUCGCUGUGGAGCUCUCUGGUUUACCGGUACCACUGCAAUCUCAAUCAAAUAAUUUUGAACAACAUAGAGGCCAUGGUUCGGGUCAGGUAACCGAAUCUUGCCUUUAUUAUCGUAUAUCAUAUACAUUACGUUCAGCAUCCGAGCUUGCCUAAAUGUGUCAUAGACAUGAUAAAUUCGUAACUCGUCAAUGAAUUACAAUGACGAGUUUUCUAGCAAAUUGAGACUAGAAGCUAGACGAGUGAUGAGUGAAGUACAACCGACAGGUUCCUGGAGACUAGGUAUACUAAGCCAAUGAGAAACUAAAAGAGUAACAGGUGAAGUGGGUAUUUUAGUUAUUUCAGCAUAAAGAAGUUGUAAAUCUCCUACUCUUACUUUUCUGGUAUCAUCGUGAUGGAAAAGAUUGUACCCGAGCCAUUUGUGGAACAUCCUAAGAGUGGGGUGUUCCAUGUCGCUGGUUCGGGCUUGAUUAUAAAACUCAUCCCUAGAUAUCUCUCUCUAGAAUUGGUGUCUCUCAAGAUUGGGCAAGUCGGAGUCAAUGUCCAGGAUGCAUCUUGAAGAGAAACCGAGAUGGUCGCUCAAUUCUCUCCAAGACAACGUAAUGUCCUGUUUGAACAUUCGAAAAGCGAUUCCCCCCUCAUAAUAUUGCAAAGUGCAAAGAAAUUCAAUGGUGAGAAGACGGGAACCCAGCUCAGUUAUGUCCCAAAAAUCUAUCCAUCCCACCCUCUAGAAAAUCAAGUCAAAUUUGGUAUCCAUACCUAUUUCUUGUAGCAGGAUAGGAUCAAGAGUGGGGGUGUGAAUGAAAUCCUUGUUCUUUAGCUGUUGGAAAACUUUCUUCUCCCUACGGGACUUCAUUCCAAGGUCUCCUGUCUUGAGGAGGACCUUGUCUUGCGGAUCAGAUGAAGAUGACGGAGCUUGUGGGGGCGUCGGGUCAACGUUCAGCUCUGAUUGGUGCGAGGAGUGUCGGGAUGAGCUCCUCGUACUAAUGUUCUUGAGGACCUUUCCCGCGUUCUUCACCUUCUUCAUCAUCCUGCCAACAAAAGUUGACACAAACACAACUAAUGGAAAAUGUGAGAGAGAAAAAUGUUAGUGGUGAGCUGUCUGACUUGUUAGUAGUCCAUGGGUUAGUCGUCAAGACAAGUUUUUAUUUUGGCAGCGCCUCCCCCUAAACAACUUUCCGCUCUGGACAGUGGGAUCACCACUUACUAGGUGAACCUUACUCUCUUACUCAAAGACUACCAACCUUCCUUUCACUCUUCUCUUCUCUCCUCUCUCCUUCAUACUCUACUACAAGAGCUCCUUCUCUGGAAACUGAAACUUGCGUGGUUUUCUGGAAUGCUUGUGUGAAGAAGUUGGAGGCAGGAGGUGGUCUUUUAUAGGCUGAAGGAGGGACAGGGCGAGCGCCCUCUUUAGGUGGGCGGGCGCCCACCUUUGGUGGCCAUCCCGGCUGCUUUUUACUCCCUCCACUGCUUAUCUCUUACGUAGAAUAAUGUUGAGUGGGCGGUGGUUGGACGGUAGAAAAAUGCUGGUAAGUGGAAACAUAUCGGUGGAUCACAAGAUAUGGUGUAUGACAUGUGGGACCCAAGGAGUGUGGGUCAUGCUUCUAGAAGGUUGCUAUCAUAUAAUGCAGGAAAAUCUAUGAGAAUUGAAACUUGUGAUAAUGGAAAAUAUUUUUGUGCCUCCACAAUAAUUAAUAAAUAUGAGUUGUCACAUACCGUAAAUAUUAUUUAUAUGGGCUUUUGAUUAUUAUAAUAAUGCUUAUGAAUAAAUAUGGAUAAUGCAGGAAUUAAAUGAGAGAAUUAAUGAUGCAGAUAAAUACCGAUUUACCUCCCGGCGAGGGUUUGGGAUUUUCAGGUCUCCCAAGCUGGACCUCCAAAUCUUUUAAUCGUCUGAAUUACAUUCCUCUGGAGAUGGUGUUUCCAGUGGUUCUUCUUUACUGGGGGUUCUCUUGAUUAUUGAGAUAUUCGUAUGCUGCCUCAAUGGUCCUCUGAUCUUUUUUCAAGUAUUCGUUUUGUUUGGUGAUGAUGUUGAACUUUAUCUUGGAACCAGCUUGGGUCUUCUGCUAUCUUGUCCAAAAGUAGUUCUGGUUUUCCAAGUGUAUGUUCAAAAAGUGACCCUCCAGUAAUUGCAUCUAGGCUCUCACGAGCCUUUUGGGUUAAUCUACAGUGGAAGGUUUGGAUAAGUAACCAUCUGGCCAAUCCAUGGAGAGGACAUUUUGAUAUGUAUCCUUUAAAACACUUCCAUGCUUCUGGAUUGGAUUCUGUCUUUUGUUGUUGAAAGCCGGUGAUCUUUCUUCUUAGGGCAACUGAUUUGGUCAAUUUGCCUAUGGGAAAGAACUUUGCUAUAAAAGCCUUUGAACAGUUUGUCCAAGUAUUGAUAUCUUCUUUGUUGGUGUAGAACCACUUCUUUGCUCUUCCUUCAAGUGAGAACCGAAAGAGACAAAACCGUAUGCUAUCUUGGUUGACUCCAUCCACUUUGAUUAUGCUCAUAAUCUCUAAGAAAUUCUGCAAGUGUGUCUUAGCAUCUUCAUGUGCCUUUCCACUGAAUUGUGUAACUUGUACCAAAUUGAUGAGGCUAGGCUUGGUUGGACGUUCAAGAUUUCCUUCUUUUGCGUCGUGUCCUAGACUAGUGCAAAUGUCUUCAAUGCUUAGAGCAGAAAAUUCUCGCAGAGUCUCUUGUAGCUAACUUCAAUGAUUGGUAGCUAACUUCUUCUUUCUUUCUUGAUUGCUUUGGUUCUAAUGAUGAAGAGUUGAAUGUACCAAAGUCAAUCCUGAUAUACCCUGUAUAAAAAUAUAAACAUAGAAAAACAACAGGGUGAACCUGCCAAAGCAGAUGUGCCUUGUUAUGAUUUCUCAUUUUUAUAGUAGCUGUUUAUGCAAUUAUUUCUCCAUAGUCUAGUCUAAUAUUUUAUGUGAAUAACCUUGACUGACUUCCUGACUUUCCUUACCGUUCCCCAGCAACGGCGCCAGAAAUGCUUGUUGACACUUACUAACACCACUUGGAUACUAGGUUGUCAUCCCCAGCAUGGUGCCAGAGUGUAGAAAUGUAUUCAUGAAUGUAAAGGCUCUCUAGAAAAUAAUCUAUUCUAUCCGCAAGCGUAUAGAUAAAAUACCUCAUUGUAGCAUUUCACCAGGAAAAGUAUUCUGGGUAUCUAUUGGGUAUUUUAAACGCAAACAGAAAAAUCUGGAAGUGCAUGGAUACCGAUGUAGCUUUCACCCAGGAGUAUUCCAGAGUAUCGAUUUUCCACAGGGAACGUGAGUGUACUAAUUAAGAUUCAAGAUCGCCCAAGGAUAACUAUAUAAUUAUUUUUGGUGGGAAGAGAGGAAGUUUCCUGAGAGUUCUCUAGUUGAUCUAAGAAUCAAGAAUUACUUCAAAGAUUACUUAUAUCGGGACAUCAGAACACUAACCACAGAAAGAGAUGAGAGGGGGGCUAGGAAGCUCUGACCACGGUCCUACAAACACCGAUCCGAACGAGGUGGAAUACGUCGACCGUUAGGGCUGUCACUACCCUAGGGCUACCACAACAAUCCGCAGGAUUGGGUGCAAUUCCAGGUAAUUGCAAGACUAAACACCACGUCUAAUCUAUUAAUUACUACUCUUGCAUUGCAAAGACUAGAGCACUAGAUGCAAGCGGGAAUCCAGUAAAUAAAUUGAAUGUAUAUAAAAGUAAUUAAAGAACUCAGAAAUUAUGAAUUGAAGAACCUAGAGAACGAUGAAGAACAAACCAGUUGCUGCAAAAGUACAAUGUUGAGGAAGAUCCGACAGAUCCGGCUCCUCCUCCUCCGCUCUCCUCUUCUCUCUCCCUAUUUUCUAGAUUACAACUAUAACUAACUAGAACUAGAACUAGAGGAACUAGAACUAGAACUAGAUGAACUAGAGGGAUCCUCUCUACUUGGAUGAAGAAUUGAAACCCUAGCUUUGUUUCUGUAGAAGAGGUAUGCCUCCAGGGGCCAGGGGGCCUUGCUUAUAUAGUCUUUUCAGAUGAAUUUGGGCCAUCAGAUCAAACCAACAUUAAUCGCACAGUUUUCCUUGAUCCCUUAGGUCGGUGGAGCACGGUCCGCAAAGUUGAUCGUGAUUGGUGGAAAAAGGUGGGUGGGCGCCCUGUCCCUGAGCCCUCUCGGCUUCCCGUUCGUUCCCGUGGCUUCUGGAGUCUUCUAGAUGAUAGAAAAUUGCACGGUAUGUUUAUAUCUCUAUGUAAACCCGACGUGUGGGCCUUUCCUCCGUAUUUCCUGAUAACCCCCUACAGAAAUAGACAAACACCAAAACUCGUGGAAUUCUGUCCGAUAAAUCCCUAAGUCUGGGUGUUGGUUGCAUAUAAGUCCUUUUCCAUGUUUAGUUGAUGGUUAAAUGUGAGCAUUAAGGACCGUCAACAAGCUCCCCCAAGCUUAACCUUUGCUCGUCCCUGAGCAAAGCUAAAAUCAGCAAGAAAACAGGGGUUACUUAAAUUAUCACUAAAGUCUUAAGUGAUUGAAGAACAGAACGAUCAAGUCAAGCACUAUGUCUCAAGUUCUUUUGUCUUACCUUUGUUCUGGAGUUUUUUUUUAAGUUUCCAGAAUAAAAAUGAGGCAUUUGCCUUCUUCUCGAAAGAUAUAUAAGUAGAGCUUUAAAAGUUUUAGCAUACAUACUUUGCAUUUUGCUAUGUCAAUGCUCGGAGCAAGGGAGAGGAAUGUCAUACUCCUAGAUCAAGACCUUUGACCUUUUUGAAAAGUUUGUCAUCUCUUACUAUCAUAUUGCUUAGAGGGACCAUGGGCUAUCAUUUUUUUUCUUUCUUUUUUUUCAGUCUCUCUCACUCUCUCUCUCUCUUUUUUCAAGUGGGCACCAAGUACCCCUAAUUCUACUUGUAAGAAUUACCUAACUCCUUGUGCUUGAUUCUCUUAUCAUGCCAUCAUUUUGUUCUCUCUUUAUAGAUCCUUGAAUUGUGGUAGGCUUUCUCUCUCCAUUCUCCUAGCUCAGAUAGUUUCAUCAGACGAUUCUCGCUUGCGAGGUGGAGAUCCAUGUUCCAUUUCUUGAGUGCCCAAUGAGCCUUAAACUCUACUUCCAUAGGCAAAUCACAAGUUUUCCAUAUACAAGUUGAUAAGGUGACAUGCCUAUGGGUGUUUUGAAUGCAGUUCUAUAUGCCCAAAGUGCAUCAGGAAGUUUGUCCUUCCACCCCUUACCCAUCUCAUCUACGGUCUUUUGUAAAAUAUUUUUGAUUUGUUUAUUAGAUGUUUCGGCUUGACCGCUAGUUUGAGGAUGGUAUGGUGUUGCGACGUUGUGUCGAACUCCAUGAUCGGCUAGGUACUUCCGGAAGAUUUUGUCGAUGAAGUGGGAACCUCCAUCGCUUAUAACUAUCCGAGGUAUACCAAAGCGAGGAAAGAUUACUUCAUGGAACAUUCUCUUGGCAUGUUUUGAAUCAGCUGAUCGACAAGGUAGGGCUUCUACCCAUUAGGACACGUAGUCCAUAGCUGCUAAGAUAUACUCGCAAUUACCGGACAUAUUGAAUGGCUCCAUGAAAUCGAUGCCCCAUACAUCGAAAAGUUCUACUUGAAGAUUAUUUGUGAGAGGCAUUUCAUUUCAUGAGUUGAUAUUCCCAUGUUUUUGACAUCGGUGGCAUCUCCUGACAAAGUCCUUUGUAUCUUCAUACAUCGUUGGCUAGAAAAAACCACUUUGCCAAAUUUUAGCAUGUGUCCGGAAUGCUCCGUAGUGUCCUCCAUAUGGCGAGGCAUGGCAUCUUUCCAUAAUUUGAGUAGCCUCAGCCAUAGGAACAAACUUUCUCAAGAGUCCAUCAGCGCAGACUCGGAAAUGAUAUGGCUCAUCCCAAAGGUGGAAACGACUAUUGUGAAGCAACUUCCUUUUGUUUGUACCAGGUGGGACAUAGCCUUUUACUAUAAAGUUUACGAAGUUUGCGUACCAUGGAUCUGCAUGUGUUAUCUUAAGCAGGGUGUCAUCCCUUAGGUAGUCAUUUAUGGGAAGCUCAUCAUGUGUUUCCUUAUAUUGAAGCCUAGACAAGUGGUCGGCUACGGAAUUCUCUACUCCCUUCCUGUCUCGGAUUUCUAUGUCAAAGUCUUGGAGUAGAAGAAUCCAUCGAAUUAGACGAGGCUUAGCAUCCUUCUUAGUGAGGAGAUACUUGAGAGCAGCAUGGUCUGAAUAGAUGAUUAUCAUUGCCCCCACUAAGUAAGAUCUAAACUUGUCUAUAGCAAAGACAACAGCCAAAAGCUCUUUUUUAGUUGUAGUGUAAUUGAGCUGUGGUCCAGACAAGGUUUUGCUAGCGUAGGAUAUGGCAUAAUGUUUUUUAUCCUUGGUUUGUCCUAAAACGGCACCAACCGCAAAAUCGCUAGCAUCACACAUGAUCUCAAAAGGAAGAUUCCAAUCAGGUGGUUGGAUAAUUGGGGCUAAGAUAAGUGCUUUUUUAAGAGUUUGAAAAGAUUCAUGACACUCAUCACUAAAGAUGAAAGGUGCAUCCUUACCUAGGAGACUAGUUAGGGGUCUAGCAAUUUGAGAGAAGUUCUUGAUAAAGCGUCUAUAGAACCCUGCAUGUCCCAAAAAGCUACGGAUUCCAUUCAAAUUUGUGGGAGGUGGUAGUUUUUCAAUAACUUCAAUCUUUUCUUUGUCCACCUCUAUACCACGUUCGGACACUUUAUGUCCUAGCACUAUUCCUUCCUGAACCAUAAAAUGGCAUUUCUCCCAGUUCAGGGUUAAGUGCUUUUCUUCACAUCGCUGCAAGACUCUAUCUAAAUUCUCCAAACAAUGAUCGAAGGUUUUGCCAUAGACGGUAAAAUCAUCCAUGAAAACCUCCAUGAUCUUCUCAAUCAUGUCUGAGAAAAUAGACAUCAUGCACCGUUGGAAAGAAGCUGGAGCAUUGCACAAUCCGAACGACAUUCGUCGGUAUCCAUAAGUUCCAUACGGGCAUCUAAAGGUAGUCUUUUCUUGGUCAUAUGAGUGGAUUGGGAUUUGGUGAUAUCCAGAAUAACCAUCAAUGAAACAAAAGAAAGAGUGGUUUGCGAGCCGUUCCAACAUUUCAUCAACGAAUGGUAAUGGAAAGUGAUCUUUCUUUGUAGCCUUGUUGAGUUUUCGAUAGUCAAUACACAUACGCCACCCAGUGACAAUUCGUUGAGGGAUGAGUUCAUUCUUCUCAUUCCUAACGACCGUCAUUCCUCCUUUCUUUGGCACAACUUGGAUAGGGCUAACCCACUCACUAUGUGGCACAGGAUAAAUAAUCCUAGCAUUAUAGAGUUUGAGGACCUCUUUCUUAACAACCUCUCGCAUAGCAUUGUUAAGUCUUCGCUGUGGUUCCCUUGAAGGUGUAAAAUUGGGAUCAAUAGAGAUACGAUGAGUGUAGAGAAUGGGACUAAUGCCCGUGAGAUCUUCGAGAGAGUAGCCAAAUGUUGAUCUAUGCCUUUCAAGAAUAGUGACAAGUUGUUGUGUUUCAUAAUCGGAAAGCUUGUCACUCAUAAUUACUGGGGUUUUUGGGUUGUUGUGCCAAAAAAAGACAUAUCUAAGGCCAGAAGGAAGAGGUUUUAACUCUAUCGAAGGAGGUGAAGGUUGUUCAUUUUUGUCUAGCUCAACGGGUUCUACCAACUCUUCUUCUUCUUGAAAAAAGUAUUCAUGAUUGAAGAAUGGUUGGGCCGUCUCCUCUUGAGUCAGCAUUAAGAUCUCCUCAAUAGGAUCGGGUUCAAGUUUGGGUUCCACUAUUGUGUUAAGUGAUCUAGCAAGAGGAACAACAAUAGUGGAAUUCCCAACCUUGAAGUCUAAAUGACCUCGUUGUGGUUGUUGUUGUAGAAGUUUCAUAAUUGGUCUGCCAAUUAAGAGAGGAAUCUCCGGUAUGUCAACAAUGUGAAAAUCUAGGCAUAUUCCAGAGUCCUUGAUUCUAAUAGGAACUGCCCUUAAUACCCCAUGGCUUUCUAGAAUUAAUCUAGAUGGACUUUGUAAAAGAUUUUGAGAUGGGCUUAUUGACUCGUUGGGAUAAAGAGUGUCAGCUAACUCCUCGGAAAUAACAUUUAUCCCAACAUAUGGAUUGUAGUGGACCUUCCUAGCGGACCUUCUAAUUUGGCACAAAAGAAUGGUUGAAGGAGUGAUGAUUCGAGCUACCUUAGGAGACAGCUCUGCUUCUGUUAGCCAUUCAUAACUCAGAAUAGCCAAAAGGCUUUUGAUGUGUUCUAUGUCAACAAAUUCUACUCUUAGGAUGGAUUGAGUGGUCGUUGCUAGAGGUCGUGUUUGGAUAUGAAAAUUCGAGGUGUUUCAAUAAUCUUCAAAAAGAUCUUCCUUGAAUUCAAAGGGAUGCUCUAAAGGUGGUGGAUCAUCAUCCCUUAGUUAGUUUUGCAUUCCUUUAUCAGGAGGUUUCUCUACAACCAAAUUAAUGGAUGGGUCAGGUGGAAUUUCUAACUCGGUUGCAAGUUCCUCAUAUUUUGGUUUAGGAUCAGGCUCGACUUCUUUCUCUUCUUCAGGAAACUCAUCAUAAAUGCCUGUGUAAGGGGUAUUUUCAAGGAUUCUCUCUAGGAUAGCUCUCCCCUCAUCUGUGAGGUUGUGUGUGAAUGAGCCUCCUGAAGCAAUAUCGUGGUGAAGAGCAUCUUCCUUGUUUAGACCACGAUAAAAGUGAGUACAGUACAUGGUCAGGCAAGGAAAGGUUUGGACCAGAAUUGCUAAGGCUUGUGAACCUAGCCCAAGCUGCUCCUAAAGUUUCCUUCUCUCUUUGUUUGAAUGUAAGAAUUUUGAUUCUAAGGUCAGCGAUUCGAAAAAGUGGAAAGAAAGCGAGACAAAAGUUGUCCCGAAGUUCAUCCCAAUUUCCAUUAACGCCUCCUACAGAAUGAGCAUACCACUUUUUUGCUCUUCCCAAAAGGGAGAACGGAAAUAAUUUCCAUUUAAGGGUUUCUUGUGUCAUGCCGGAAAUAGAUCGGCAAGAGCACAACUGCUCGAAUUCUCUAAGGUGGGUGUAUGGAUCUUCAUCUACUUGCCCAGAGAAGGGUUGCUCCUAAUUCAUGGCUAUCAGAUCAGGGCCGAGGUCGUAGCCAUCUGUAAGAAUUGGAUGGGAUGAUGGUGGUGGCUCUAAUAAAUCGCCCUUUGGAGCAAAGAAUUUAUAGAUAGGAGUGAAAUCCAUGUGGUAUGGUGAAAAUGGUAAGGUGAGUGUGGUAAAAAAAGGGCUGAGCCUGUUCUCUUCUCUCUCCUCCUCCUCCGCUCUCCUCUUCUCUCUCCCUAUUUUCUAGAUUACAACUAGAACUAACUAGAACUAGAACUAGAGGAACUAGAACUAGAACUAGAUGAACUAGAGGGAUCCUCUCUACUUGGAUGAAGAAUUGAAACCCUAGCUUUGAUUCUGUAGAAGAGGUAUGCCUCCAGGGGCUAGGGGCCUUGUUUAUAUAGUCUUUUCAGAUGAAUCUGGGCCGUCGGAUCAAACCGACAUUAAUCGCACGGUUUUCCUUGAUCCCUUAGGUCGGUGGAGCACGAUCCGCAAAGUUGAUCAUGAUUGGUGGAAAAAGGUGGGCGGGUGCCCUAAGGAGUAGGGCGGGCGCCCUUUCCCUGAGCCCUCUCGGUUUCCCGUUCGUUCCCGUGGCUUCUAGAGUCUUCUAGAUGAUAGAAAAUUGCGCGGUACAUUAAUAUCUCUAUGUAAACCCGACGUGUGGGGCUUUCCUCCGUAUUUUCUGAUAACCCCCUACAGAAAUAGACAAACACGAAAACUAGUGGAAUUCUGUCUGAUAAAACCCUAAGUCUGGGUGUUGGUUGCAUAUAAGUCCUUUUCCAUGAUUAGUUGACGGUUAAAUGUGAGCAUUAAGGACUGUCAACAGUAUCGUUAUUUAUAUUUUUGCUUAAGAGAACGGUGGAGGUCAAUAAAAUCUAUCAAGGCAUAGACUAGAGAUAAACUUGCAAGAACAUGAUUACUAAUGAGAAACUCGUCACACAGUCACUUGCUUUAGCAGGGGGUAAGCCAUAAUAACAAUGAUAAUGAAAUAUAAGCUCAUGGGUAAAUAACACAGCGAUUAGAAAAUAAACUACUCCUCAUAUAUGUAAGGUGACGUCGGAUUAGCUAGAGAAUGCAUUCUGAGUUAUCUACUAUCUACUAAGUCACAAUCUACUCUAGUUAUCUACAAGAUCAUAUAUAGCAUAAAAGACUCGUCAUUCAUGUAUAAGGAACAUUGCUAAAGUAAAUGAGAACAUCACAAUACUUACUCCGCAAUACAAAUUCUGCCUGUCCUAUCAACGGAGGGUGGACUAUAUAAGUGUCCACGAAGCUGUCACCAUCGCGAUCUACCACACGACUCGGCCAAUAGGAUACAUUUGCAGGUAAAUAACAUCUAAGCACCACGCCCACAUGUGAUCUACCACUUAGCUCCCACGUGUCAAGAGCUAAGCGCUUUGCAAACUUAUACAUAAACUCAUUAUCAAUCAUAACUAUAUCAAAUAUAGGACUAGACCAAACUAAGAACAUAAUAAAUAGAGACAUAAUGCAAUUAGAAUAAAGUAGUAGAGAAAGAUAUGAAAUAAUACCAAUCUUUAUUGAUGAAGAUCCGAAUCUAGGGCGCUAGGCUCUACUUCUCUAAUUCUAUCUAAUCAAUCCUAUAGAACUUGAUGGAACUAGGAGUUGCUAAUUCUUAUUCUUUGUGGGAGAGAAAUUUCUAAACCCUAACUUUGAUGGCUUCCUGUGAUAAUGAUUUCUCCUCCCCCCUGGGGUGGAGAGGCCUUGGCUAUAUAGGCCCCUCAGAUGAAUUUGGGCCGUUGGAUCAAACCGACAUUAAUCGCACGGUUUUCCUUGAUCCGUGAAGUUGGUUCUGAUUGGUCCUCAGACCAGGGCGGGCGCCCAAGGGGGGAGGGCGGGCGCCCUGUCCCCGGACCCGUCCGGUCUCCCGUUUGUUCCCGUGGCUUCUAGACUCUUCUGGAUGUUGGAUAAUUACGCGGUACGUUAAUAUCUCUAUGUAAACCCGACGUGUGGGCCUUUCUUCCGUAUUUCCUGAUAAACCCCUGCAGAAAUAGACAAACAACAAUACUCGUGGAAUUCUGUCAGAUAAAACCUUAAGUAUGGAUGACGAUUGCAUUUGGAUCCUUUUAUUUGUUUAUUUGGUAAUUAAAUUUGAGACUAAAGGACCGUCAAUAGACGCCCUGAAGAUGCUGCGUAUGGCAGGUCUGACCACCGCGCUCGUUCUCUCGGCAGUCCACCAUCGACGGGUACUCCCGUUGAUGUCUCAACUGUUGAGGAUGGACGAGAUGGGCCCUGUUGUUUCAUCUCGGGACCUGGAGGCAUGCCGCAUGUCCAACAUUGUGCCCUCAGACGAGGAGGUUGCUGCCAGGGUCAGUGCGGCUGUUGCGGGCGGCUUCCAGCCAGAGCAUGUCAACAGCCUACCCAUGAGGCCUGAGGAAGGCUGCCUCGAUCUGGUAAGCUCUUUUCGCUAUCAUUACUCGGUUCUUGUGGUAGGUCAUGUCGUUCUUUAUCUCAAUCUUUCAGGUUUCUCCAAGAGUUAUGCCUGCUCUGACAGGGGACGAUCGAUGCCCGGUCCUCGAAUCCUCUGGUGAAGGAAGACAACGUCGAUCGUGAAAAAGGCGUGCGUCCACAGAGAAGCAAAAGUCCGUAAAGGACAUAGAGAAGACAAAGGAAAAGAAGAAGAACCUCGAGCGGCAAACGCUCAAAAAAUGCCGAGCCAAGUCGAGGCGUGAGGGGGAGUCGGAGGAGUACUCUCCUGACGAGGACGAUGGAAAUGAUGGCGACGACGAUAGCAAUGACUCCAAGGGGAUGGCAUCUCGCCUCGACAGGAUCCUAGAAGACCCAUUGCGAACUGAUGUCGAUACAUCGCGCAUGGGGGCUUCCAAAACGCCACCAGGUAGGCCCCGCGAUGGGCGCCGGAAGGAGGCGUCGCCGCGCUGUUCGCUUGCCGACACCCUCCUACGCCCGUGCAAGGUCACAUCAUUUCUCAGCUGCAACCCCCUCUGGCGUCCGGCACGGGCCAUAGGGUGAAAACCUUGGCAACAGGGCCGUUGACUCGCGGCCGCGCCACCGUGGCGGUUUCGAGCCAGGAGCAAGGGCACCGUAGGAGUGCUAGUCCCGGCGUUCGUUCGGCGGGAAGCAUGGAACCGAGGCCCGUGCCCGCUCGGGAGAAGCCGGGGGCCACAACGCGGGGUGGCUCGAGACCUGCCGGUCGAGGAACUGGUAGGUGGGUGAUCCUUCCCGUAGGGUAAGGUCUACGUGUUGCGAUUUUGUUUUCGAUGUCUUGUUCGUCCAUCGGUUUCCACCUCUUUAAUCUACCUCUUCCUUUCUCAGGCUGAAGAGGCCAUUGGAACAGGCUCAGCCCUCGAUGACCAAGAGGCUCAAGGCGGGGGCAAGCUCCAAGGCACCGAGUGAGUGACUUGUUCCUCUUUUCGUGGUUCUAGUGUCAGGUUCAUUUAGUGCUGAGUCUCUUUGUGACCGACGUGUCGCUUUGGGGCGUGUACAAGUUCCCUCGACCCUCGACCACCCGCUGGCGAUGAUAAGACACCGCCUCGACCGUCGAAGGGGGUGAUAGCUCCAGAACCAUCCUGUCGUCCCCUGUACGGGGCAAGACGCCUCGUCCCCAUGGUCAGGAGGGAGCCCCCGAGCCACCCCAGUCAGGGGGAGUGGGCGACCCCAUCACUAUCAGCAAUGAGUCUGGUGGUGGUUCGCAUUCAACAGAUGCUCGUGCCAUGGACAAGGGGGCGAGACCCCUCAGAUUGAGGGAUGGACACCAUGGCCCAUCGGGCUCCAUUCCGUCGAGGAGAAGAAGAAGAAGGACGAGGAGGAGUGGAGGAAAGAAGAAGAACAGCGUCGUCCGCAGGGGCAGCUGUCACCUCAGCAAGAGGCGCAGGCACGGCAGUAGCAACAGGUGUAGGAGCAGGAGCAGCAGCAGCCAUAGUUGCAGGAGGAGCAGCAGCAGGAGAAGGCACAGCAGGAGGUGUCGGAGCAUCUGCAGCAAGAGCAGGGGGCGCAAGUGCAUCUCGAGGAGUAGUUGGAACAAUGUUGGUAGCAAGAACUGUAGGAGCUUCAACAGCAGCAGCAGCAGCUGCUGGAGGGGCUGUUCGAGCAGCCACCGCAAGAUCUGCACAAGCCAUGGUCGCUGCCACCGCAAGGGCCCAAGGCCGGGGAAGAGGAGCUGCCAUUCUAUGGUCCCCCGACUCCCGUGUGGCUCUGCCCUGGGGGGCAUGUUACCAUCCUGGCCGAGCCAGGGCGGGCGGACGGUGUCGUGGCGCUUGCGUGUGGCAUGCGCACAUUGGUGGAUCCCCGCUCUGAGAUCAAAGGUACCAUUUAUGGUAUCGACGGGAUCGCCCCGAGGUUCCUCUAGGGUCAACGGCCUUGGCAUUUUAACGCCGGCGGGGGAGACGAGGCUGGGACCUUUGGCGGCAGCGACACUAACGAGGCCAGGACUUGGAGGUCGGUGGAUGAUGACGGGCGGUUUCCCUCCCUCGUUGAUCUGUUCCUACGCACGGGGGCUUACUCGAGAUAGUGCAAGAACUCAUCCAGGGCGUUAAGGCGCGCACAGAGGAGGAGAUGGAGCACUGGGGCCUAGGGAGGAUCCGCCUUCGAGCCUCCACUUCUCCGGACGAGCCCAACAUCAUGAUGGACGACCAGAAGGAGGCGAAGAAGUGGGAGCACCUCGAGGAGCUUCAUCUUUGGAUGAAGCACGUUGUGGGCCUCAUGUCCGACAUCGUCAAUAACGGGCUCGGCCAGGCUUUCUUUGUAAGUAUCUUUGGAUUUUUGUUAUUCGGGAGCUUUUGUUAGGCCUGCAUUCUUACUACCUUGUGAUCUACUGCAGGAUUUGAAGGAGACGUCCUACCUAAAGUUGGGUUUUAUCCAUGCGACGAGGGGCGGUUGGGAGCAGCUCCCUCUUCUUAAGGAUCAACUCCUCGAGUCACAAGAAAAGCUCCUUUAGGCCUACAAGGAUCUUACGGCAGCCUUGGAGGAUAAGAAGGAGAGGGAAGCUGCUCUAACCGAGGCUCGGAAUACUCUGUCUACUAUGGACAACAAGGUCUCCUGGGCGGAGGAGGAUGCCCAAGUCGCUUGAGAGGUCUCAGAGAGGGCAAAGGAGUUAGCCGCACAAUCGAGGGAGCGGGCUGCCUUGGCUAAGGAGGCGGCUACCAAGGCCCAGGAGGAGGCCGCGCGGCAUAAGGGCGCGGCCGUCGAGCUGGACAAGGAGAAAAAGCUUGUCGAGUCUGAACUCGUUGCCACCUGAAGUGCCUACCACGGAAUAAAAGAGGAACAUUUGAAGAGCGAAAUUGCUCGAGGCACUGCAGAGGAGGCUGAGAAGAAGGCCCGCGAGGAUCUCGAGAUAGAGCAAAUCCGUUCUCGCGGCCUUUCUGACAAUGUUGAUCGUCUGAAGAGAAUGCUGCAAGAGAAGGAGGAAGCUAUCUUAGAGUCAGGUAAGAUGAUCGAGGACCUGUGGGUCAAAAAUACAGAUCUAGCUCGCUCCUAGAAGGAGAUCGAGAUGGCCAACACCGACAUAGUUGGUGAGAUCAUAGCUCUAGAGGAAAAGAUUCGCGGUAAGUUUUUCGUGCUCUCGUGUUUCUUUUGUCUGGUUUUUCUUUCAUAUCGUCUAACCCUCCUGUCUCGGUCUUUGUAGGGCUUGAGGAAGAUCUGCUGGCCGCCCAGGUGGACACCCGAUCUUCUAAGGCUCAGCUCGAGGCGGAGGUCACUCUAACCAGUCGACUAAAGACUGCGAUAAACGACCUCUCGACCUCCUAGGAGCUCGAGCCAGUGGAUGAGUCAAGGAAGGCCGCUCGAGGUGACGCCCUAGUUGAUCAGCUAUACUACCUGGGUGCCACUCUGAGGGAUCAGGUGUGAGACGCACUUCAUACCGGGGUGAAGCGGGCAAUGGCAGUUGUCUGCUCGGGCUUCUCCUACGAUAUGGAUGUGGUGUCCCAUGGUUUCGUCACCGACAUCUCCAAGACUGACGCUGAGAACAAGGUGAGGCUCCAUGCCUUGAUCGACGACGCGGAAGUUCCUGGCGAGAGGAUGGCGAAACUGUUCGAGCUAGAGGUGCUGCCCCCGAGACUGGUGCGGUCGCGGAAGACUAAAGGCAGAAGGGAAGACAGAGGGGCUGUGAGCCUAAUCCGGGUGUCAGGACCCAUUGUAAUAUACUUGUUUCGAUUAAACGCUAUGGCUCGAGUGGCCUUAAGACUUGUCGUUUUCAUGUAUAUUUGUUUAUUUUUAUGCUCGAGUUUCUUUUACUUCCUUUGAUGCCUAAGUCUGCGUUCCUCAAUCGAUCUUUCAUUAGCGUGACUUCGAUUACCUUGAGGGUGAGGGAGUGAGUAGAGUUACCGUUGCCCGGAGGCGUAGGGGUUCUCAGGCUCGACGUCCCUCGGCCCUUAAGUGGCUCGAGGUGCCUUUAUUACUCGGUCAUGCUUGGUUUCCUUAGGGCUUGAAAUGUAAGAGAGAUAACAUUGAGCUUAUUUGAAAACUCGUUUGAUUUUUAGAAACCUGUGGGGGGUACCCCCUGCUAGCCCUCGAGGGAGUGUCGACUAUGAUGGGUCAUAGUCGAGACUUCCUCCUAAUGUCGAGGUUUAACUGGUAAUUGUUGGGCAUUCUUAACGUCACUACCAAAAGUAGACUUAGUUUUCUAAUUCUGAUAACGGCGCCAAAAAUGCCGAACCUAUCCCUCAUGCCACUUAAGCCAAGUUGUCAUCCCCAGCAUGACAUGAGAGACGCGAUAAUGAAAUAUGCAAUUGCUCUUCUGAAUAAGUAAUAAAUGAGAUAUGCAAGCGCACAGAUUAAUACCGAUGUAGCAUUUUAACCGGGAAGUAUUCCAAGUAUCAUUAUUUAUAUUUUUACCACUAGGAAGGGAUUACUAGACAUCAAUGUUGAUUAUGGAAUGCAAUAUAGAAUUGAGUAUCUAUCAUUGCAUGUAUAAUUGAGAGCAUUUAUAUAUCUCUUUCAUACAGGGAUAAAUGUCACAUAAAGGAUAGAUAAAGUAUAAAUGGUGACAAAGAUAAUUAAAUAGAUCAACAUAACUUAGCCACAUAUAAAUAUGAUAAGCACCUCAAUAGAUAUUCUAGCAAGUCAUUAGCAUGGAAUUAGGACGAACUACAAGAAUAUUUCCUAAGUUAUUCUUAACUAUAAAGUCAAGCAUAUCAUAGUUAGUGCAAUUAUACUUGGCAAUCAAUGCUAGACAGGACUACGCCCAUGCAUAGUGAUAUUAUCAAGGUAAAUGAGAAACAUAGCAAUCACUCCCCUGUAAUAAUGUUCUCUGCCAGCCCUAUACAUGAGAGGGGGACUAUAUAAGAAUCAAUGGAGCUGUCACUACCACAAACUACCCCGUGAUCCGGCAUAUAGGGUACAAUCGCAGAUAAAUAUGAUAUAGGCACCACGCCUACACAAUACUUAUCAUUUACCCACUGUACACAUGGAUAAACGCUAUAUAAUCCUAAACAUGUAUAUAAUUCCAAUCUAACUAAGCCAAGCAUAUAACUAUGAUAAACUAAGAACAAUAUAAUUGCAAAUAUAAACAAGUAGAGCAAAGUCAUAAUUAAUAUAUUGAAGUAGAACAAAGUCAUAUUCAUAAUAUUGAAGAACAAAGAUGAACAAUUGAAGAACAAUAGAGGAAUUACCAAGAAUCCUCUUGGCAGAUCCAGAAACCAAUCGAAGAUUGACUCCUUCUAGUUCUAAUCCUACGUAGCUAUGAUAAACUAGAGAUCUAUUGAUGUGGUGGCUCUAAGGGCAUGAUCAGAGGCUUCUUCUCCCGAGAUGGAUAAUGAAUUAGUGUUCAGAGGUCCCCUACUCCAGGGGCCAGGGGGUCUGCUUAUAUAGUCCUUCCAAAUGAAUGUGGGUCGUCGGAUCAAACUGACAUGAAUCGCACGGUUUUCCUUGAUCCUUUAGGUCAAUGGAGCAUGAUCCGUGAAGUUGGACCUGAUUGGUUGCCUGGCCAGGGCGGGCGCCCAAGGGGGGAGGGCGGGUGCCCUGCCCCGGGCCCGAUCGUCCUCCCGUUUGUUCCCGUGGCUUCUGGACUCUUCUAGAUGUUGGAUAACUACGCAGCACGUUAAUAUCUCUAUGUAAACCCGACGUGUGGGCCUUUCUUCCAUAAUUCCUGAUAACCCCUGCAGAAAUAGACAAACACCAAAACUCAUGAAAUUCUGUCAGAUAAAACCCUAAGUCUAGUUGCUGGUUGCAUUUGGAUCCUUUUCUUUAUUUAUUUGCUGAUUAUAUUUGAUACUUAAGGUCCAUCAACAGUAAUAACAUGCAUUACUUUGAAAAAGUACUUUUGUUUAUUCAGAUAUUCGUUCACAGGGUCUCGAUACAAUACGUGCAUGAAAAUGUAAAGCCUCGAAGCUCUAAGGGUAGAAGUGAUGUUGCUGUUUGCUGUUCCAUGCGUUGGUGAAGAACGCCCCCUUUUCAUCCGCUAGCUUGUACGUUCCUGGCUUCAAGACCUCGGACACCACGUAUUUGCCCUCCUAAGGUGGAGUUAGCUUGUGGCAUCCUUGAUUGCUUUGUCGUUGAUGCAGGACGAGGUUGCCUACGUUUAGGUAUCUUUUGCGCACAUGUUUAUCAUGGUAGUGUCAGAGCUUAUGCUGGUACCUUGCUGAGUUGAGGAGGGCCAUGUCUCGAGCUUCCUGGAGCUGGUCGACCAUGUUCUCUCGAGUCUCCAUGUUCGUCUACUCGUUGUAGGCUUUGAGUCGAGGUGACCCAUACACGAGGUCUGUUGGUAGCAUAGCCUCGGAGCCAUAGACCAUGAAGAACGGGGUAUACUUUCUAGCUCUGCUUUGCGUUGCUCUUAAGAUCCAAAGGACUGAGGAGAGUUCCUCGACCCACUUUUUGCCGAACUUUUUCAACCGAUUGUAGAUUCUAGGUUUGAGCCCUUGCAAGAUCCUGCCAUUGGCUCGUUCGGACCUCGCUGUUAGUUCGAGGGUGAGCUACUACGGACCAGUUAACACGGAUGUGGUGCCGAUCACAGAAGUCCAAAAACUUUUUGCCAGUGAACUGUGUGCCAUUGUCGGUGAUGAUGACGUUGGGUAUCCCGAACCGGCGGACGAUGUCGGUGAAGAAGAGGACAGCCUGUUUGGUGUGGAUCUUUGUGAUGGGUCCAGCGUCGAUCCAUUUGGAGAACUUGUCGAUGGCUACCAGCAAAUGGGUGUAUCCACCCACUGCCCUUUGGAGAGGGCCUAUGAGAUCGAGGCCUCAUACUGCGAAUGGCCAAGUGACGGUGAUCAUCUGCAAAGCGUGGGCAGGGAGGUGGGUUUGCUUGGCAUAGAAUUGGCAACCGUGGCAUGAGCGAACGAGCUCGAUGGCGUCAGCAACGACAGUUGGCCAGUAGAAACCUUGUCGGAAGGAAUUUCCCACGAGGGUCCUUGGAGCCGCAUGGUGGCCACAAGCCCCUGUGCCUAGGUCGACGGAUAGCUCAUGCAGGUCCCUUGAAAAUGCAUCUGGUGGGACAGUGCCUUGAGUGGACGCAAUCUUGGCGAGCUCUCGGCCGCUUCAUUGUAUCAUUGCGCGAUGUGAAUGAGCGCAAGGGCAUGCAACUUGUCCUCGAGCUUGCGUACUUCCUUACAGUAAGCUUCCAUCUAUGGGUCGUGGCAGCUCGAGGCCUUCAUGACCUAGUCGAUGACCAGUUGAGCAUGGUAGGAUUGGGCGGAGCUGUGAUGGCGUAAUGGCAUGGUUUCUAGCUGUCGCUCUGUGUUGGCCGGGACGAGAGCGCAGGCGUCAGGGUCUUCCUUGGGCUUCUUGUUGAGGUCGUAGGGGAUGACAUCCCAAUCGUCGUGGAACUCUUCGGCCAUUGGAGCAGCGAGGGACUAAGCAAGCUCUAGUUGAAGAAGAAGAGAAGUCUUGUAUGAAUUGGUGUUUGAAAACUGACGUCAGGGGUCUGUUUAUAUAGGGGUCAAAAAGUGCCUCUAGGGUUUUCUCGGGCUACUCCCGCCGCCGUGCGUGCGAAACUUUCCAUCUGUAUGAUUAUUUAGUUUACCAUAAAUGUAUUUAUCAUGAUGGAGGAAAUCGGGACUGAGAGGGGACAGGGGCUGGGCACCCGCCCUCAUCAUCAGGGCGCCCGUCCUGUGCUUGGCCCCUCUGUGGGCCCGCUUCCUCAAGCAUGCUUCUAGAUGCAAAACUUAUUCGAAAAAUAUAUACGUGGUCCAAAAACGUCAGAUUAAAAAGGUCGGGCUCUGAUUCUCCAUGGGAAGGUAGAAAUGGAUUACGUCUAUUUCUUCUAAUUCUUUAUUGGGCUCUACAAAUAAUUUAAGACGUUUACCAUUUACCUUGAAUAACGUACCUUCGUCAUUUUGAAGUGUGAUAGCUCCGUGGGAUGAUGAAUUGAUUACCUUGAAUGGUCCUUCCCAUUUACUCCAGAGUUUUCCAUGCCCAAAAAGCUUCACCCUGGAAUUAAAAAGUAAUACCUUAUCUCUGGGUGCGAACUCCUUCUUCUUGAUCCUCUUGUCAUGCCACCUUUUGACUCUUUCUUUAUAGAUAUUCGAAUUGUGAUAUGCUUUCUCUCGCCAUUCUUCCAAUUCUGAUAGUUGCAUUCUUCUAUAAUCUCCAGCGACAUCUAGGUCCAUAUUCCAUCUCCUUAUGGCCCAGUGUGCUUUCAAUUCUAGUUCAACAGGUAGGUGGCAAGUCUUCCCGUACACCAACGGGUAUGGGAACAUUCCAAUUGGGGUCUUGUAUGCUGUCCGGUAUGCCCAGAGUGCAUCAGGUAACUUGUCCUUCCAUGCCGUUCCCAUCUCAUUGACUGUUUUCUGAAGAAUAUUCUUGACUUGCUUGUUGGAAGUCUCUGCUUGGCCACUUGUCUGAGGAUGGUAGGUGCUAGUGACAUUGUGACGGAUUCCAUGUUUUGAUAGAUAGUGCUUGAAGCGUUUGUUGAUGAAGUGUGCUCCUCCAUCACUUAUCACUACUCUAGGGACUCCAAAUCUUGGAAAUAAAAAUUCUUCAAACAUCCUCUUUGAACUGAUGUUGUCGGCAUGCUUGCAAGGUAGUGCCUCUACCCACUUGGAGACGUAGUCAACUGCCACCAAGACGAACUCACACUUCUUUGAUGGGGGAAAUGGACCCAUGUAAUCUAUUCCCCAGACAUCAAAGAGCUCAAUUUGAAGGUUGUUGGUAAGUGGCAUGGCAUCUCUUGCGUUUAUGUUUCCGUGCCUUUGACAUGGCCCACAUCUUCUAAUAUAUUGCUUCGUGUCUUCAUACAUUGUAGGCCAGUAGAAUCCACACUACCAGAUCUUUGAAUGUGUACGGAAUGCUCCAUAAUGACCUCCAUAUGGUGAUGAAUGACAUCUGUCGAUGAUCUUCCAUCCUUCCUCAGUGGUCACACAUCUCCUAAGUAAGUCAUCAGAGCAUACUCGGAAGAGGUAUGGCUCAUCCCAUAUAUGUGAACGACUUUCUUGAAUAAGCUUCUUCUUGUUCGCUCCUGGUGGUACAUACCCUGAAACCAUAAAAUUAACAGUAUCUGCAUACCAGGGGUCAGACCUAUUAAUCCUGUAGAGCAUGUCGUCCCGGAGUGAAUCAUUGAUGGGGGUUUCCUCUGGAAUCUUAAAAUACAUUAUAGACAAGUGAUCAGCAACAGAAUUUUCUACUCCCUUUUUUAUCUUUUAUUUCCAUGUCAAAUUCUUGAAGUAAUAAGAUCCAUCUAAUCAGGCGAGGUUUAGCAUCUUUUUUAGUGAGCAGAUAUUUUAGUGCAGCAUGAUCAAUGUAAACAACUAUUUUAGCUCCAAUUAAAUAAGAUCUAAAUUUAUUAAUGGCAAAGACAACAGCCACAAGCUCUUUUUCAGUGGUUGCAUAAUUAAGUUGAGCUCCUGUCAAAGUUUUAUUGGCAUAAGCAAUUGCAUGAUGCUUCUUAUUUUUAGUUUGUCCCAAAACUGCCCCCAUAGCAUAAUCACUGGCAUCACACAUAAUUUCAAAAGGCAACGACCAAUUAGGGGGUUGAAUGAUUGGUGCAAAGAUGAGUGCAUUCUUCAAUAAAUUGAAAGAUGUUAGACAUGCAUCAUCAAAUUCGAAAGGAGCAUCCUUGGCUAGCAAAAGAGUAAGUGGUCUAGCAAUAAAUGAAAAAUCAUUUAUGAAUCUGCGAUAAAAACCAGCAUGGCCAAGAAAGCUUCGAAUUCCUUUUAUAUUCACAGGUGGAGGUAAUUGUUCAAUUACUUCAAUUUUAGCUUUGUCUAACUCAAUACCUCUUUCAGACACUUGGUGUCCCAACACUAUUCCUUCCCUAACCAUAAAAUGACAUUUUUCCCAAUUAAGGACUAAGUGCUUUUCUUAACAUUUUUGCAAAACCUUGUCUAUGUUUUCAAGACAACUAUCAAAAGUUUUUCCAUAAACAGAGAAAUCAUCCAUGAAAACUUCCAUAAUUUUUUCAAUCAUAUCAGAAAAUAUAGACAUCAUGCAUUUUUUAAAAGAAGCUGGUGCAUUACAUAACCCAAAUGACAUUCUACGGUAAGCAUAAGUUCCGUAUGGGCAUGUAAAAGUGGUUUUGCUUUGAUCAUCGGGAUGGAUUGGGAUCUGGUGAUACCCUGAAUAUCCAUCUAAGAAACAGAAGAACGAAUGGUUCGCUAAUCGCUCUAGCAUCUUAUUUAUGAAAGGUAAAGGAAAAUGAUCCUUUUUCGUGGCUUUGUUUUGUUUUCUAUAGUCUAUGCACAUCCGCCACCCUGUGACGGUGCGUUGCGGAAUUAGCUCAUUCUUUUCAUUCAUAACGACAAUCAUGCCUCCCUUUUUAGGCACAACUUUAACUGGGCUCACCCACUCACUGUGCGGCACAGGAUAUAUAAUCCCUGCAUGCAGCAACUUUAUAACUUCCUUUUUAAUUACCUCUCUCAUCGCGUUGUUAAGUCUAUGUUGAGGCUCUCGAGAAGGUGAAAUGGAAGGAUGUGUCGGAAUACGAUGGGUACAAAUCAUAGGACUGAUUCCUGUAAGAUCUUUGAGUGAGUAGCCAAAAACUGAGUGAUGUUUCUCAAAAAUGGUCAUCAAACGCAGAGUUUGCUCCUAAGUGAGUUUAUCACUAAUGAUCACAGGAAACUCUGGAUUAUUAUUUAGGAAAGCAUAGAUAAGACCGGGUGGUAAAGUUUUAAGCUCUAUGGGAGGUCUAGGCAUUUCUGCAAAUUCGUCUAAGGGUUCAGGUUCAGAAGGUUCAGCCUCUUCUUCUAUGAAGAAAGGAGCUUCGUCUUCUAAGUCUGGUUCAUCUAAAAGCUCUAGAGAUGCAGCCUUUACCUCCUCCAUAGGAUCAGGCAAAAGAUAUGACUCGGCCUUAUUAUUUAAGGAGUGUGAAAUUGUUAUUGGAAAUUUAAAAGUUUUUCCAAAAGAAAAGUGUAGCUUUCCAGUAUGACCUUCAUAAAGGAGUCUUCUAAAAGGUUGUCCUACCAACAGGUCAAAUUCCCAUGUAUCAAAGAUAUAGAAGUUCAAAUGAACCAUGGAGCCUUCUACCAAUAAGGGUAGGACAUUAAUAAUUCCAAGAUUGGGGACUAAUCGUCCCGAAGAUUCCUUUAUGACCUUUUUUGUGGGGGUUAAGACCAAAUUUUUAAAUAAUUUUAGUGCAAAAGAUUCAGACAUGAUGUUGAUCCCCACAACAGCAUUAUAGGGAGCAUCAAAUUGUUCAGAAUCAUAUGCACAGCGUAUAGUUAUAGGAGGUGUGUCCAAACGGAUCACAUCAGAGGAAAGCUCUGACUCCUCCAACCAUUCGCUACUCAUGACUGCUGUUGAUAUUUGGGAACGCAAUAAGGAAUUGAUCCGCAAGCGCACGGAUAUCGGUGAGCACUUCACCCGGGAAAUUAUCCAGAGUAUCGUAUUUAUUUUUUUACCACUAGGAGAAAGAGUGCAUCUGACUAACCAGUCUAUUACUACUAACCUUUAGGCACAAAGAAUGUCUUUCGAUGUGAGUGAUAAAUAGAGAAGACUGCAACCGUAGUCUCCUUCUAACCUUGGUAAGGAUGAUCUACUAUUCUAAUGGGGAGGCUAACGGAAUCUAGACACCACAGAGGAUGUUCAACCCGCACCUAUAAACCCUAUCCUUCCUGCUAACGAGAUAUGAUCUACAAAGGUAGCUCGGAAUUGUCACGUUCCUCACUACUACCACGGUCCAGCUAGUCAGGGAAUAUUUAUGAGUACCCCAGCCUAAACACCAAGUUUACGCCAGCAAUGAUUACUCUAAACUCUAUGCGAAGAGAUUAAAGUAAACUCAUAAACCAUAAGAACAAUAAAACAAGAACUUACUAGAAUUUAGAAGUCGAAUUACAGAAGAAUCCUAGGAGCAAGCUUCGGGUUAGGAGAACUUGAUCCCGCAGGUACAAGCUUGGAGUAGACACCGACAGGCCGGGCUUCCUCCACUCUACACCUCCACUCUAUCUCUCUCAAUCUAGUAGAAACUAGAAGAUCUAUUUCUACCUUACAUUGAUUGCUAAGCCUAAAAAGAAAUAUUAAUUAGAGAAGAGGUUUUCCUUCGAGGGCACCCCUCAGUCUCUAUGAUAAUUUCUUCAUGUCUUCUCCAGGGGCCAGGGGGGCCUUGCUUAUAUAGUCCUCCCCUUCUAUGUGUUUUUGGGUCGAUAGCCGAGGUGGUACUAUGUUUUUCUUGAUCCAAUAGGUCGGUGGAAUAUCCCGAACGAAAGAGUCCUGAUUUGGCUCCAGCAGGGGGGGCGGGCGCCCAGGCUACCAGGGCGGGCGCCCUGGGCCUGGCCCAGUUUCGCCUCCGCUUCGGUCUCGUGGCUUCUGGAGUCUUCUAGAUGAUGUAAAAUUGCGCGGUGCAUUGAUAUCUCUAUGUAAUCCCGACUGUUGGGUAUUCUUAACAUCAUUACUAAAAGUAGACUAAGUUCUAAAUCUAGCAACGGUGCCAAAAAUGCCAAACCUAUCCCUCACACCACUUAAGCCAAGUUGUCAUCCCCAGCAUGACAUGAGAGACGCGGUAUUGAAAUAUGCAAUUGCUCUUCUAAAUAAAUAAUAAAUGGGAUCUGCAAGCGCACAGAUUAAUACCGAUGUAGCAUUUUAACCGGGAAGUAUUCCAGGUAUCGUUAUUUAUAUUUUUACCAUUGGGAAGGGAUUAACAAUCAUCAAUAUUGAUUACAGAAUCGAAUAUGAGAUUGAGCAUCUAUCAUUGCAUGUAUAAUUGAGAACAUUAUAUCUAACUCUUCAUACAGGGAUAAGUGUCACAUAAAAGAUAUAUGAAGUAAUAAUAGUGACAAGGAUAACUAAUCUGAUCUAGCCACAUAAUAAAUAUGAUAAGCACCUCAAUUAGAUACUCUAGAAAGUCAUUAGCAUGGUAUUAGAACGAACUACAAGAAUAUUCCCUAAGUUAUUCUCAACUAUAUAGUCUAGCAUUAUCAUAGUUAGUGCAAGCAUACUUAGCAAUCAUUGUGAGACAAGACUACGCCCAUGCAUAGUGAUAUUAGCAAGGAAUAUGAGAAACAUAGCAAUCACUCCCCUGUAAUAAUGUUGCUCUGCCAGCCCAAUACACGAGAGGGGGACUAUACAAGAAUCAAUGAAGCUGUCACUAUCACGAACCACCCCACGAUCUGGCAUAUUGGGUACAAUCGCAGAUAAAUACGGUAUAAGCACCACGCCUACACAAUAUCUAUCAUUUACCCAUGGAUCCGAUGGAUAAACGCUAUACGAUCCUAAGCAUGUAUAUAGAUCGUAUCUAACUAAGCCAAGUACAUAACUAUGAUAAACUAAGAACAAUAUAAUCUUGAAUAUAAGCAAGUAGAGCAAAGUCAUAAGCAAUAUAUUGAAGUAGAACAAAGUCAUAUUCAUAAUAUUGAAGAACAAAGAUAAUUAGAAAGCAAUUAGAAGCACAAUUAGAGAAUUACCAAGAAUCCUCCUGACAGAUCCGGAAACCAAUCGAAGAUUGACUCCUUCUAGUUCUAAUCCUAUGUAGCUAUGCUAAUCUAGAUGUCUAAUUGAUGUGGUGGCUCUAAUCUUGAUUAGAGGCUUCUUCUCCCUUGAUGGAACAAUGAAUUAGGGUUGAGAGGCUCUCUCCUCCAGGGGCCAGGGGGUCUGGUUUUAUAGUCCCUUCAAGUGAAUAUGGGCCCUUGGAUCAAACCGACAUAGAUUGUAUGGUUUAGAUUCAUCCUUUAGGUCGGUGGAGAUCUCCCGCAAAGCAGAGUCCUGAUUGGACUCAGGGGCAGGGCGGGCGCCCUGACCAACUGGGCGGCCGCCCAGGGUCUGGCCCCGUUUCGCCUCCGCUUCGGUCUCGUGGCUUCUGGAGUCUUCUAGAUAAUUGCGCAGCACGUUAAUAUCUUUACGUAAUCCUGACAUGUGGGCCUUUCUUCCAUAUUUCCUGAUAACCCCCUGCAGAAAUAGACAAACACCAAAACUCGUGGAAUUCUGUCAGAUAAAACCCUAAGUCUAAAUGUUGAUUUCAUUUGGGUCCUUUUCUUUAUUUAUUUGAUAAUUAAAUUUGAUACUUAAGGACCGUCAACAAACUCCCCCAAGCUUACCUCUUGCUCGUCCCUGAGCAAAGAUAGACUCAGCUAUGGAUCAUAAGUUGUUGCAAUAUAUAUAUAUAUUUUUUUAAAAAAAAAUUUGACGGUACACAUGCUUUAUAAAUAAGAUCUCAUCUGUGAGUAAGAGUAAACUGUCAAGACUUAAAACUUACUUUCUUUACCUUCACCAUGGGACUUGUAACCGUCACUUCUGUCUUGAGUGGUUAAAAGAUAGAACAGUCUAGCCAAGUGCCAUGUCUCUUAUUCUUGAUCAGCUAUAGCUCUGGGGUUUUUGUAGAUUUUCAAAUAAAACUCAGAAAUUCCUUGUAUGAUUCUCUCAUGUCUCUCUUUUGUGGUAUUUUUGGAUCCUUACCAAGGCAUUGAUGGUAUAUGCCUUCUCUCAAGAUAUGUGGUAUUUGUGGUAUGAGGCAUAGUGACAUUGCCUUCUCUCUCACCCUACUCUAAUAAGGCUUUAAUAUCUGGAGCUCAUAGGUGGGAGAUAAAAUAUACAUACUUACAAGACAUUUAUUGCAUAGUCAAACCAUGGAUCCAAAGUAACAAGCCAAUAAGUUUAAUCAAGAUGUGCAUGGGUGGCGAAUGAAUGGUGUAUGGUGGUGAUGGUGAUAACAAUGGUGAAAACAAUGGUGGUGGAAGUCUAAUUCUACUUUGCUCUUUUGAGGGGAUACAUACCUUCCUUGCUAUUGAAACUUUAUGAGGAGAAUGAGAUGCUCUUCUUUUUUUUCAGGUGGGUAUCUUGCACCCCUAAUUCUACUGUCGGACACUUGUCCAUUUUUACCUCUCGUCUCACUUUUUCUUUUCUUUUGAGGUUCCGAGCACUUGCUCCUUUUUAUUUCCUCGUAUAUAUUUUUUUCUCUUUUUUUAGAGCACUCAUCUCUUGAGAUAAUAUAGCAAGUGGUAGUAACAAGAUAACUUGAGCAUUUAUUUCACAAGGGGAAAAUAGAAAUAUUUUUGGUUAUUCUCUCCCGGAUUAGGAGUAGAAUAUUUUUGGGUGAUUCUGGAGAUGGAAUGGGUGGAUAUAUGUGGAUGGUACUUCUGGAGUAGAAGUAGCAUAUAUGAGUGAACGUGCAAGUGAAUCUUGAUUUAACCACAUGACAAGCUCCUAAGGGUCUACACAGCUUGACCACACUCAAUGCUCAUAAGCAGUAAAUAUUAAAUGUGUGGCUCAAAGUCUAGCAAGCAUGUAUAUAUGGCUGUGGUAGGAAUUUAAACUCUCAUCAUACAGGAACUCAUCAUGCAACAUUUUAAAGAUUUUCAAAGAUAAAAUUCUCCAGAAUUCUAGCAUCUCUAGGAACAUAUAAACAGCAGCUCAACCUUCCCAUAUCAUAUCCGUUAACAACUUAGACUUCAGAUCAAGUUUUCAUCCCACAAGUUUAGGUCUAGAGCAAGCUUUAAAUUAUAACAGUUAUAUCUAAACUUGAGAGAGAACUUAAAAUUUACAAAUUAGGCAGAGCAACUAUUCAUCAUAUCCAUGCUUAAGUUUUAUUUAGAUACAGAUUAGCAUAGCCACUUUAUUUAUUUAUUAAACACACUAAGCAAAAGACAUAUAUAAGCAUAAAAUCUUUAUUUGGUUUUCCCAUAGUUUAUGUGUAUUUUAAUAUUCUAAAAUAAUAUAAGUAUAAAGAUAGAUAGAAAUACUUAUCGUGAUAAAUGGGGGUGCUCUCCCCCAAUCUGAAUUUUGACGUAAUUUCUCUUGGUGUAGCUAGCAGGUGGUAGAGGUGUAUUUGAAAGUCAGCAGCAUUCUGACAGCGAUUAGAAUGUCCUCCGUCUGCUAGUCUUCUUGAUUCUUAAAUUUCUGUGGAGAUCAAAUAGACAACAAAGCUUGUGGAACUUGAUUAAGUGUUAGCAUAAAUAUCUAGCCUUUAUUAUCUUGAGACUCCUUAAUAAAUAUUACUCCCUGUUUUUAUAUUUUUAUUUUAUAAAGCAGAAAAAUAUUUAUUUUUAUUUUUAUCCCACCACAGUGAAUGUACUUAUGGGUUUUAUGCCACUCGUAUACUCACAUGGGGCUUACAGUUUUUAACAUUUUUAUUUUCUUUUUUAAGAUAGUGUGAAUAUGAUUAACUAAGUAAACUAUUUGAAAUAACUGAAAGGGAAAGGAUAACUACCAAGUUUACCUCUUGGCAAGGCGUUCGGUGUUUUUAAGUCCUCCGAACGGGACUCUCCAAUUUCUUAAUUGUCCUGAGGUUCGUUGGGUGGCGUAGUCGGUACUUCCGGCAGCGCCUCCUCUUCUUGUAUAGUUAUCUUCAUUUUCCAUACCUGACUCGGUGCUUCGAUCUCCUCUGGAUAAUUCUGUUUAAAUUCAACGUCUUCUGACCUUACAACUUCUCCUUCAUAGUCUGCCCAUCCGUCCUUGAUGAUCUGCCUCCUCUGGAUGCGGUUGCGUCUUUUUCUGACCUGCUUAGAUUCUUCAAUGAUAUAGUUAGGGUCAGUAAAAUAACGGCGUACCUUCUCUGAGGGAAGUGCAUAUGGACUUCUCCGGUUCCAAUGUAGAUAAUUGCUUUAACGGUGCUGAGGAAUGGUCUUCCAAGGAUGAUGGGUGGAUCAUAUUCAUCUUCUCCCAUGUCAACAACUUGAAAGUCUGUGUAGACAAAGUGAUCGUCUAUUUUGACUGGGACAUCAGAUACUAUUCCUUUAACUUCUUGAAAUGUCUGAUCUGCCAUCUGGAGCUGAAUGUAUGUUGGUCUUAGUGGCAUGGUCCCGAACAAGAGCCGAUAAGUGACUGCGGCCAUUAUGUUGACGCCCGAUCCGGUGUCGCAAAUCGUCUUGUAGAAGUUGUAUCCAUUUAUGGAGCAGUAGAUGCUUGGCAUUCCUAGGUCGUCCUUCUUGGUCAAAAAACGGUGACUUAAGUUGAUGAUCUUGGCCUCCAUGGACUACAGAGACCAUCUUAGGUGACUCGGUCCACACUUGCUUGUUCCUGUUCCUCCUGUUGGUCCUCUUCCUUGAUUCACGUCUGGAUUGAUCUUGAAUUUGUGUAGUCUUGUUCUUGAAGAAAAACGUCUCCUUCUUCCCUUUGACGUAGAAACUGAUCUUGGCAGCACUAGCGUAGAUGAUAGCUCCCGUGGUGUUCAAGAAUGGCCUCCCUAGGAUGAUAGGUGCUCUCUCAUCAUUUCCGGUCUCUACCACUACGAAGUCUGCUGGGGCAUAUAAGGUACCAACUCGGACACAAAGGUUCCUCACUAUUCCUUUUGGGAAAGUUAUCGUCUGAUCUGCAAACUGCAAACACAUGGUUGUCUCUAAUAAAGGAUAUGUAAAGAAUUUCUCAUAGAGUAACCUAGGUAUAAUGUUGACACUGGAGCCAAAGUCGCAGAGUGCUUCUGGGAAGUCCACCAUGCCGAUGGAGAUCGGGAUGACGGGGCGUCCUGGAUCGCCUCUCUUGACCGGCAGACGGUCAGUAGAAAAUUCAGUGACGGGGUUACUCCAAUUACCUGCAUCAAACAUGUCUACAAGAUUUGCAGAUUCUAAUCCUUCCGGUUGUGAUGGUAUACCGGGGUUAGUAGUAGGAACAGCAGCAGCUAUUUGAUUUAAUUGGGAUUCAAUCAUUUUAUUAAAGCUAAUUUGAUUCUUGAUGGCAGUAGAGAAAUUAUCCAUUCUAUUAUUUAUAUUUUCUAGCAUUUUAUCAUUAGAUGCCAAUUUCUUAGAUAGGUUAUCCAUUAGCUUUCCUUGAUUAGAUACUAACUCUCUCAAAGGUGGAAAAUUAUUAUUAUUGUUGUAAGAAUUGUUACCUUGAUAAUUACCUGAGUAGUUAGGCCUCUGUUGAUUCCAACCUUGAUUUUGUUGAGGACGGUUGUAGUAGUUGUUGUUGUUGUUCUUGAUGUAGUUCACAUCCUCAAGCAUCUCAGGGCAGUGAUUGCCAGAGUGUCCAGUGUCUCCACACUCCUCACAAGUCAUGUGAGAGUCGUAGAUGUGCAUAACUUCUUUCUUGUCUCCAGCUCUAUCGUCGAGCUUCUUCAUGAUCAGGUCUAGCUUUGCAGACAGCAUGUCUACCUCCUUCAGCUGAUGUAUACCUCCACCUCUCUUGCGUGUCUGGCUCCUCUCUUCAUUCCAGCUUUGAUUGGACGCCAUCUUCUCCACAAGAGCUGUGGCUUGUGGUAUAGUAAGUGAUAAGAAUGCUCCUCCAGCUGCAGCAUCCAUGGUCUCUCGGGCACUGUUGCCGAGCCCAUGAUAAAACGUCUGCAUCAAUAGCCAACUCUCCAUUCCAUGAUGGGGACAUUCUAGGAUGUAGUCUUGAAAGCGCUCCCAUGCUUCUGGAACAGAUUCAUCAUUUUAUUGCUGAAAACUUGUAAUCUUCCCACGGAGAGCAUUGGUCUUGCCCAUGGGAAAGAACUUAGCCAGGAAGUUUGUUGAGCAGAGUGCCCACGUAGUAUUCUUCUCCUUUGUAGCGUAGAACCACUGCUUCGCUCUUCCUAACAGUGAGAAUGGGAAGAGGCGAAGUAGUAUAGCGUCUUUGGAAACUCCUGCUAUGGUGAAUGUGUUGCAAAUCUCCAGGAAGUGUUGUAAAUGAGCACUAGCAUCUUUGUGUGCCUUCCCACAGAACUGGUUGGAUUGCACCAUGCUGAUAAGUCCAGGCUUGAGCUCAAAGUUGCCGUCGAUCUCUGCAGCAGGUCCAGUGCGGAUGUUGUCCGUAGUGGGAGCUGAGAACUCGCGGAUCGAUUUGUUCGCCAUGGCUUCGAACUCUGAAGACAAGUUCCGGUGAUCUUCUUGAUUGGAUGAAGCUUCUUGCUGAAGUGUUGAUGAUUUCUUUAGCUUGGCUCUCGUCUUCUUGAAUAAUGCUUCGGGAUUGUCAACAAAAUUUCCUGGAAGAUGUCUUCUAUUCAUACAUUCCCCUGCAUAAGAUAAAAUAGAAAAAUAUCGGGGUAAAACUGUAUGAGAGAAUAGAUAAGCUCAAUCAUAUUAGUGAUGCGAAUGAUAACUCAAAAUCUUUUAUUCCAUUCCUGAUUAGUAAUCAACCUUCUCCGGCAACGGCGCCAAAAAUGCUUGUUGGGUAUUCUUAACAUCAUUACUAAAAGUAGACUAAGUUCUAAAUCUAGCAACGGUGCCAAAAAUGCCAAACCUAUCCCUCACACCACUUAAGCCAAGUUGUCAUCCCCAGCAUGACAUGAGAGACACGGUAUUGAAAUAUGCAAUUGCUCUUCUAAAUAAAUAAUAAAUGGGAUUUGCGAGCGCACAGAUUAAUACCGAUGUAGCAUUUUAACCGGUAAGUAUUCUAGGUAUCGUUAUUUAUAUUUUUACCACUGGGAAGGGAUUAACAAUCAUCAAUAUUGAUUACAGAAUAGAAUAUGAGAUUGAGCAUCUAUCAUUGCAUGUAUAAUUGAGAACAUUAUAUCUAACUCUUCAUACAGGGAUAAGUGUCACAUAAAAGAUAUAUGAAGUAAUAAUAGUGACAAGGAUAACUAAUCUGAUCUAGCCACAUAAUAAAUAUGAUAAGCACCUCAAUUAGAUACUCUAGAAAGUCAUUAGCAUGGUAUUAGAACGAACUACAAGAAUAUUCCCUAAGUUAUUCUCAACUAUAUAGUCUAGCAUUAUCAUAGUUAGUGCAAGCAUACUUAGCAAUCAUUGUGAGACAAGACUACGCCCAUGCAUAGUGAUAUUAGCAAGGAAUAUGAGAAACAUAGCAAUCACUCCCCUGUAAUAAUGUUGCUCUGCCAGCCCAAUACACGAGAGGGGGACUAUACAAGAAUCAAUGAAGCUGUCACUAUCACGAACCACCCCACGAUCUGGCAUAUUGGGUACAAUCGUAGAUAAAUACGGUAUAAGCACCACGCCUACACAAUAUCUAUCAUUUACCCAUGGAUCCGAUGGAUAAACGCUAUACGAUCCUAAGCAUGUAUAUAGAUCGUAUCUAACUAAGCCAAGUACAUAACUAUGAUAAACUAAGAACAAUAUAAUCUUGAAUAUAAGCAAGUAGAGCAAAGUCAUAAGCAAUAUAUUGAAGUAGAACAAAGUCAUAUUCAUAAUAUUGAAGAACAAAGAUAAUUAGAAAGCAAUUAGAAGCACAAUUAGAGAAUUACCAAGAAUUCUCCUGACAGAUCCGGAAACCAAUCAAAGAUUGACUCCUUCUAGUUCUAAUCCUAUGUAGCUAUGCUAAUCUAGAUGUCUAAUUGAUGUGGUGGCUCUAAUCUUGAUCAGAGGCUUCUUCUCCCUUGAUGGAACAAUGAAUUAGGGUUGAGAGGCUCUCUCCUCCAGGGGCCAGGGGGUCUGGUUUUAUAGUCCCUUCAAGUGAAUAUGGGCCCUUGGAUCAAACCGACAUAGAUUGUAUGGUUUAGAUUCAUCCUUUAGGUCGGUGGAGAUCUCCCGCAAAGCAGAGUCCUGAUUGGACUCAGGGGCAGGGCGGGCGCCCAGGGUCUGGCCCCGUUUCGCCUCCGCUUCGGUCUCGUGGCUUCUGGAGUCUUCUAGAUAAUUGCGCAGCACGUUAAUAUCUUUACGUAAUCCUGACAUGUGGGCCUUUCUUCCAUAUUUCCUGAUAACCCCCUGCAGAAAUAGACAAACACCAAAACUCGUGGAAUUCUGUCAGAUAAAACCCUAAGUCUAGAUGUUGAUUUCAUUUGGGUCCUUUUCUUUAUUUAUUUGAUAAUUAAAUUUGAUACUUAAGGACCGUCAACACCGACAUGUGGGCCUUUCUUCCUUAUUUCCCGAUAACCCCCUGCAGAAACAGAUAAACAACAAAACUCAUGGAAUUCUGUCAGAUCAAACCCUAAUUCUAGGUGUUGUUUGCAUAUUGGUCCUUUCUCUUGUUUAUUUGAUAAUUAAAAUUGAUACUUAAGAACCGUCAACAAAUACCCCCAUACUUAGGCUUUUACUCGUCCUCGAGAAAAGGAUGGUUAAGAAAAAUAUCUGGGGUAAAACAUUUAAAACAUUCUCUUUAUAUAAUUGCAGGGUGUUAAAAUUCCACUGUGUACCAUAGUCAGGGAUGUUUAUGGUUAAGAGUAAAGAUCCUUUCUUCUCAAUCCUGUCACUUGGAGUUUUUGUUAUAUUUUUGAAAGAAAGUUAGCAUACCUUUUUAUCCUCAUAGGUUCUCUCAGAUCACUCAUUAUCUUUUAUAUACGUCUCACUGAGGUUGUUUUAUUUUGCAAAAAUUCUCAAACAUUCUUACUUUGCAUUUAUUGCCUGAUCAAAACGGGAUCCGAGGAGGGGAAUGUCAUACUCUUAGAUCAAAGACUUUGGAAAUUAAAAACUUUGUCAUCUCUUGCUAGCAUAUUGCUUAUUAGAGGGACCAUGGGCUAUCAUUUUCAUUUCAUUUUUUUUAAGUGGAUACCGAGGUACCCCUAAUUCUACUGCCGGACACUUGUUCAUUUUUUCUGCGAGGUUGUCGAGCACUUGCUCCUUUUUAUUUCCUCGAAAUAUCUCUAUUUUUGCAUAGCCCAUGCCUCUAAUACAAUAAUACUUCGGAAGAGUGAAUCUUACUGAAAUAGUGUCUUGAUCUUGGGAGCAUGAUAAAUCUCUCAACAAGGAUCUAACUCAUUUUGAACAAACUCAAUACAGAGUAGAUAGCUUUAUAAUCAUCAUUAAUAUUUUUAUUUUUAUCAGGCAUAUAAAACACUGAGGAUGGUAGCUAGAAUUUUGAAUAUUUUGAAAUAAAUUCUCCAAGCAACAAUGAUAUCAAGAAUAAGAAACUCAUACUCUACCAUCACAUAUUCCAUAUUGACUUAAGUAACAUAGGGUUUUAAAAUGAUUUUAUAAUAAUUGCAAGUUUUCAGGAAAUAUCACAGAUUGAGAUUAAUCAUGAUUAGAAAUAUUUUAAUAUUUUUAUUUUAUCAUGUCGGAAACAGUAAUCUGCAUAAUCCAAAAUAAAUGUAUGUAUGAAGUAAAGUGUGCAGAGUGUGUACCUGAAUCAUGGAGUGGUGUAGUCGGAGUGUGUUUGGCAUGUUGAGGGAUCUCCCCCAUACUUGUUUUCUGCUUUCUUGCACAAAAAUAAAGUAGAGACACACAAGACAUAAUAAUAGUAAUACUCUUUAUUGAUCUUGAGGCAUUUAUUAUAAAAGACUAGUAGCAAACUGAUGAUAAUAGUAAACUGAUGAUAAUAGUAAACCUAAACCGAAUUUAAAGAUAAAUGACUAAGAUGUAUUGCCUCAAGGUCUAAUCUAGAUAACUUAGCGGCGCUCUAAUUCCUUGAUCUUCUUGUUGGCACUGGCAAGAUCCUGCCUAAGGCCUAGUAUAAUGGUGUUGUGGUUAGAGAGCUGCCUAGUGAGGGAAUUAAUUGAGGACUGGAGGUCUAUGAUAACUCUAUCUAGCCUGCGAACUUCCUCAUCAAUAUCCAUUAUAGUCUUGCGACGCUUGGGAGGUGUCUCAAAAGCAUUGAGAGCGUGCUUCGGGGCUGCCUUUGGAGGGAUGAAACGGACUUUGGAUGCUCUAAUCCCUUCAAAGUAAGGCCUUUCCUCCUCCGUAGUGUAGCGAACGCUGCUGAUCUCGGCGCUCCGGUUGGUCUUGACUCCAACGACCCUCUCAUUGGGAAAAGGUGGAAGGAUCCUUGUGCCGAUUGGCACCUUGAUAGUGGUCUUUGUCUUGGAUGAUGAUCCUUUGAGGAGUAGGGGUUGUGGCGGUGCGGUGAGAACUGGUUGAGCAUGGUAGGAUUGGGCGGAGCUGCGUUGAUGUAAUGGCAUGGCUUCUAGUUGUCGCUCUGUGUUGGCCGGGACGAGAGCACGGGCAUCGGGGUCUUCCACUGGCUCUAUGUUGAGGUUGAAGGGGACGACUUCCCAAUCGUCGUGGUACUUGUCGGCCAUUGGAGCAACAAGGAACUAAUAAAAUUUUAAUUGAAGUAGAGCUAAUUAAGCUCUAAUUGAAGGAGAGAAAGCUUGGUGGCUUGGUGUUUAAAAACUGAGGUCAGGGGUCUAUUUAUAUAGGGGUCAAAAGGAUGCCUCUAUGGGUUGUUCGGGUUGCUCCCGUCGAUGUGCGUGCGAAACUUUCCAUCCGAGGGAUUAUUCGGAUCACCCUAAGUGCAUUUUCCAUAACAGAGAAAGUCGGGACCGAGGGGGAACAGGGGCUGGGCGCCCGCCCACUUGACCUGGGCGCCCGCCGUCUCUGUGGCCCCUCUGUGGGCCCACUUUUCCGAGCGCGUUUCUAGAUGCGGAAUUAUUUAGAAAAAUAUAUAUAUGACCCAAAACCAUCAGACCAAAAGUAUCGGGCUCUAAUUCUCCAUGGGAAGGUAAAAAUGGACUACGUCUAUUUCUUCAAAUUCCUCAUUGGGCUCUAAAAAUAAUUUAAGACGUUGACCAUUUACCUUGAAUAACGUACCUUCGCUAUUUUGAAGUGUGAUAGCUCCGUGGGAUGAUGAAUUGAUUACCUUGAAUGGUCCUUCCCAUUUGCUCCGGAGUUUUCCAUGCCCGAAAACCUUUACCCUGGAAUUAAAAAGUAAUACCUUAUCUCCGGGUGUGAACUCCUUCUUCUUUAUUCUCUUGUCAUGCCACCUCUUGACUCUUUCUUUGUAGAUCUUUGAAUUGUGAUAUGCUUUCUCUCGCCAUUCUUCCAAUUCUGAUAGUUGCAUUCUUCUAUAGUCUCCAGCAACAUCUAGGUCCAUAUUCCAUCUCUUUAUGGCCCAGUGUGCUUUGAACUCUAGUUCAACAAGUAGAUGGCAAGUCUUCCCAUACACCAAUUGGUAUGGAGACAUUCCAAUUGGGGUCUUGUAUGCUGUCCGGUAUGCCCAGAGUGCAUCGGGUAACUUGUCUUUCCACGCCGUUCCCAUUUCAUUUACUGUCUUCUGAAGAAUAUUCUUGAUUUGUUUGUUGGAAGUCUCUGCUUGGCCACUUGUCUGAGGAUGAUAGGGGGUAGCGACGUUGUGACGGAUUCCAUGUCUUGAUAGAUAUUGCUUGAAGCGUUUGUCGAUGAAGUGUGCUCCUCCAUCACUUAUCACUACUCUGGGGACUCCAAAUCUUGGAAAUAUAAUUUCUUCAAACAUCCUCUUUGAACUGAAGUUGUCGGCAUGCUUGCAAGGUAAUGCCUCUACCCACUUGGAGACGUAGUCAACCGCCACCAAGAUGUACUCGCACUUCUUUGAUGGAGGAAAUGGACCCAUGUAGUCUAUUCCCCAGACAUCAAAGAGCUCAAUCUGAAGGCUGUUGGUGAGUGGCAUUGCAUCCCUUGUAUUUAUGUUUCCGUGUCUUUGACAUGGCCCACAUCUUCUGAUAUAUUGCUUCGUGUCUUCAUACAUUGUAGGCCAGUAGAAUCCACACUGCCAGAUCUUUGAAUGUGUACGGAAUGCUCCAUAGUGACCUCCAUAUGGUGAUGAAUGACAUCUGUCGAUGAUCUUCCAUCCUUCCUCAGUGGUCACACAUCUCCUGAGUAAGCCGUCAGAGCAUACUCGGAAGAGGUAUGGCUCAUCCCAUAUAUGUGAACGACUUUCUUGAAUAAGCUUCUUCUUGUUUGCUCCUGGUGGUACAUACCCUGAAACCAUAAAAUUAACAAUAUCUGUAUACUAGAUGUCAGACCUGUUAAUCCCGUAGAGCAUGUCGUCCCAGAGUGAAUCAUUGAUUGGGGUUUCUUGUGGACUCUUAAAAUACAUUCUAGACAGGUGAUCAGCAACAGAAUUUUCUACUCCCUUUUUAUCUUUUAUUUCUAAGUCAAAUUCUUGGAGUAAUAAAAUCCAUCUAAUCAGGCGAGGUUUAGCAUCUUUUUUAGUGAGCAAAUAUUUUAGUGCAGCAUGAUCAGUGUAAACAAUUAUUUUAGCUCCAACUAAAUAAGAUCUAAAUUUAUCAAUGGCAAAGACAACAGCCAGAAGCUCUUUUUCAGUGGUUGCAUAAUUGAGUUGAGCUCCUGUCAAAGUUUUACUGGCAUAAGCAAUUGCAUGAUGCUUCUUAUCUUUAGUUUGUCCCAAUACUGCCCCCACAACAUAAUCACUAGCAUCACACAUAAUUUCAAAAGGCAACGACCAAUCAGGGGGUUGAAUGAUUGGUGCAGAGAUGAGUGCUUUCUUUAAUAAAUUGAAAGAUGUUAGACAUGCAUCAUCAAAUUCGAAAGGAGCAUCCUUGGCUAGCAAAAGAGUAAGUGGUCUAGCAAUGAAUGAAAAAUCCUUUAUGAAUCUACGAUAAAAACCAGCAUGGCCAAGAAAGCUUCGAAUUCCUUUUAUAUUCACAGGUGGAGGUAGUUGUUCAAUUACUUCAAUUUUAGCUUUGUCUACCUCAAUUCCUCUUUCAGACACUAAGUGUCCCAGCACUAUUCCUUCCCUAACCAUAAAAUGACAUUUUUCCCAAUUAAGGAUUAAGUGCUUUUCUUCACAUCUUUGCAAAACCUUAUCUAAGUUUUCAAGACAACUAUCAAAAGUUUUUCCAUAAAUAGAGAAAUCAUCCAUGAAAACUUCCAUAAUCUCUUCAAUCAUAUCAGAAAAUAUAGACAUCAUGCAUCUUUGAAAAGAAGCUGGUGCAUUACAUAACCCAAAAGACAUUCUACGGUAAGCAUAAGUUCCAUAAGGGCAUGUAAAAGUGGUUUUGCUUUGAUCAUCGGGAUGGAUCGGGAUUUGAUGAUACCCUGAAUAUCCAUCUAAGAAACAAAAGAAUGAAUGGUUUGCUAACCGCUCUAGCAUCUCAUCUAUAAAAGGUAAGGGAAAGUGAUCCUUUCUCGUGGCUUUGUUUAGUUUUCUAUAGUCUAUGCACAUCCGCCAUCCUGUGACGGUGCGUUGCGCAAUUAGCUCAUUCUUUUCAUUCAUAAUAACAGUCAUGCCUCCCUUUUUGGGCACAACUUGGACUGGGCUCACCCACUCACUGUGCGGCACAGGAUAUAUAAUCCCUGCAUGCAGCAACUUAAUAACUUCCUUUUUAACUACCUCUCUCAUAGUGUUGUUAAGUCUACGUUGGGGUUCUCGAGAGGGUGUAACAGAAGGAUCUGUUGGAAUACGAUGGGUACAAAUCAUAGGACUGAAUCCUGUAAGAUCUUGAAGUGAGUAGCCGAAUACUGAGUGAUGUUUCUCAAGAAUGGUCAUUAAUCGCAGAGUUUGAUCCUUAGUGAGUUUAUCACUAAUGAUCACAGGGAACUCUGGAUAAUUCCAAGAUUGGGGACUAAUCGUCCCGAAGAUUCCUUUAUGACCUUUGUUGUGGGGGUUAAGAUAAGAUUUUUAAAUAGUUUAAGUGCAAAGGGUUCAGACAUAAUGUUGAUCCCCACAACAGGAUUAUAGAGAGCAUUAAAUCGAUCAGAAUUAUAAGCACAGCGUAUAGUUAUAGAGGGUGUGUCCAAACGGAUCACAUCAGAGGAAAGCUCUGAUUCCUCCAACCAUUCGCUACUCAUGACUGAGAUAAGUUCUCUCAAUUGAUAUUCACUUGGUAAAUAAAUGCUAAACUGGCCGUUCUGGGGUUUGUCAAUAGAAUGGUAAUUUGAAAUAUUUCCAAAAUCAGCAAAAAGAUCGGAUUCUAUAUCCAGCAUGAAGUCCAGUAGUGGAAUUUCUUCCUCUUGUGGCUCAAAACUUGGAAUAGCUAAAGUAGAUGAAGAAUUUGGCAGAGUGUCUACUUCGGCUUCGUAGGUUUCAUCAUGAAGGGUAUUAUCCAUCUCAGCUUCUAGGAUUCUAUCUAGGAUCACUCUUGCUUCAUCAGCAGAGAUGCGAAAGAAAGAAUCUCCAGACAUUGUGUGUAGCAUUUGUUUGUGAUUUUUAUGGAGACCUCGAAAAAAGUGAAAUAAAAGAACAGGGUCUUCAAGAUUAAGGUUUGGACCAGAUUCUAAAAGAUCAGAAAAACGUUUCCAGGAUUUUCCCAAAGUUUCAUUAUCUUUUUGUUUAAAAGAUAGGACUUCGAGUCUAUGGUCGGCUAUACGGUCAAGGGAAUAGAAAUCUAGACAAAAGUUGGCUCGUAAAACUCCCCAUUCACCUUGUUGUUGACUUACCUUCUGACUGUACCAUUGUCUAGCUUCUCCCCUUAGAGAAAAAGGAAAAAGCUUCCAACGUAAAGUCUUAUCAGAAAUGCCUUCAAUGCGAAGACAAUCACAUGUUUGCUCAAAAUCUCUAAUAUGAAGGUAAGGGUUUUCGUCUUCCUUUCCCGAAAAAGAUAGGUUUUGAAUCAUGGCAAUCAACCUAGAACUUAACUUAUACUGGGGUGUUUGGAUAGGCUGUGAUGAUUCCCAUGGUAAAAGGUCAGUUGCUAAAGGGAUUGCAGACUCAUGGAUCGAUUUAGAAUUUUGGUUUUCCAUAAGGUAAGAAUAAAGAAAAUAAAUAAAGGAUACAAAAGAUAAGAAAAGAUAAAAGUACACAUACAAGCUAAUAGCAAGACACAGGUUAUCUCAGCAACCGUCUUUCUCCCCGGCAACGGCGCCAGAAAUGCUUGUUGAUAUUUGGGAACGCAAUAAGGAAUUGAUCCGCAAGCGCACGGAUAUCGGUGAGCACUUCACCCAGGAAAUUAUCCAGAGUAUCGUAUUUAUUUUUUUACCACUAGGAGAAAGAGUGCAUCUGACUAACCGGUCUAUUACUACUAACCUUUAGGCACAAAGAAUGUCUUUCGAUGUGAGUGAUAAAUAGAGAAGACUGCAACCGUAGUCUCCUUCUAACCAUGGUAAGGAUGAUCUACUGUUCUAAUGGGGAGGCUAACGGAAUCUAGACACCACAGAGGAUGUUCAACCCGCACCUAUAAACCCUAUACUUCCUGCUAACGAGAUGUGAUCUACAAAGGUAGCUCGGAAUUGUCACGUUCCUCACUACUACCACGGUCCAGCUAGUCAGGGAAUAUUUAUGAGUACCCCAGCCUAAACACCACGUUUACGCCAGCAAUGAUUACUCUAAACUCUACGCGAAGAGAUUAAAGUAAACUCAUAAACCAUAAGAACAAUAAAACAAGAACUUACUAGAAUUUAGAAGUCGAAUUAGUGAAGAAUCCUAGGAGCAAGCUUCGGGUUAGGAGAACUUGAUCCCGCAGGUACAAGCUUGGAGUAGACACCGACAGGCCGGGCUUCCUCCACUCUACACCUCCACUCUAUCUCUCUCAAUCUAGUAGAAACUAGAAGAUCUAUUUCUACCUUACAUUGAUUGCUAAGCCUAAAAAGAAAUAUUAAUUAGAGAAGAGGUUUUCCUUCGAGGGCACCCCUCAGUCUCUAUGAUAAUUUCUUCAUGUCUUCUCCAGGGGCGAUGGGGGCCUUGCUUAUAUAGUCCUCCCCUUCUAUGCGUUUUUAGGUCGAUAGCUGAGGUGGUACUAUGUUUUUCUUGAUCCAAUAGGUCGGUGGAAUAUCCCGAACGAAAGAGUCCUGAUUUGGCUCCAGCAGGGGGGCGGGCGCCCUGGGCCUGGCCCAGUUUCGCCUCCGCUUCGGUCUCGUGGCUUCUAGAGUCUUCUAGAUGAUGUAAAAUUGCGCGGUGCGUUAAUAUCUCUAUGUAAUCCCGACAUGUGGGCCUUUCUUCCUUAUUUCCUGAUAACCCCCUGCAGAAACAGAUAAACAACAAAACUUGUGGAAUUCUGUCAGAUCAAACCCUAAUUCUAGGUGUUGUUUGCAUAUUGGUCCUUUCUCUUGUUUAUUUGAUAAUUAAAAUUGAUACUUAAGAACCGUCAACAACUGCGAUAAGCUCUCUCAAUUGAGGUUCAGUUGGCAAACAAAUGCUAAAAUGGCCGUUUUGGGGUCUGUUGUCACAGAACCGACCAAAUUAUAAGAGUUCAAGUGCAGAAAUGAUCGUCAAACAAUCAAGUUUCUAAACUUGAGCCCAUAUAAUCCCGGUAGUCAAUCGAAAUCACGAAGGACUUCAAACCAACUCGCAACAAACCAAGAUCGUAAUAGUUCAACAUAAACACAACGAAUGUUACAUAGUCAGUCAUUGCCGAUGAAGCGGCACCACAUCGGAGUCAUUAAGUUAUUACAACCCAAGUUUGAAGUAGCGGAAGCAAAAUAGUUACACACACUUGUUCAAAGUUCAGUUCACAAGUUUUGUUACUGCCAGAGUCUAUGCCAUCCUUCCAAAAGCAUCAUAGACGAGAAGAGUAGAGAACCGUGCCCAACGGUUAGUCCUCAUCCCCAGCGGGAUGGAGACAGGUAUUGCAGAAACCGUCAUAGAAGAUAUCAUCUGCAACAGGUGGGAAUAAACCCUGAGUACGAGGAUGUACUCAGCUAGACUUACCCGUCUAGUAAAACACAAAAGACACCAAGGAUCAUGCAAGGCUAAAUCUUAGGUGGAGUUGGUUGACUCACCUUUUGCCAAAAGCUUAACUUACAACUAAGUUAUUUUAAGAGCAUCAUAUUUAUUUAUCAUCAGCCUACCACUAGAUUAGCACCUGUACUACAACACAUCACUUGAUUAUUACAAACAAUAAUAACCAUAUCAAAUUCAUCAUAUGUUCUUCUUGCUAUCAUCAUUAUCAUGAACCAAAUUCAUUAGUGAAUGCUACGUUUGCCGCUGCUCUGUCUAGUUCUCACUAACCGGGAGAGACGGCGAUUCGAAUCGAAUUCCUAUCCAGCUGGAGGAUUAUUCCUAGCACUCACCCAGGCAUCCCCUGCCGGAGAGCCCACGGGUCACCUUUGGUACAACUCAGAAAUCGCAGUUCCGAUCAGCGCCGCACUCCCAGGGCUACCACUCUACCAGGGAGGUCAGGAAUUUUAACUCACCUGCCUUUGGACUUACGCCAAUGGUCCCCCACACACCGCACUUCCUCCGGUAGUGCGCACUUUAUACUUGCCGGUCUUCCGGCCUGAGUCAUACUACUCGGCUUCGCGGUCGGAACGAGUUAUCCGGCCAACUAAGUGUUAGGCAUGCGUUCAACAUGACAAGAGGACGUACAACGAUCAGUCCUUAGCUGCCACAGACGGAGUUACUACAAACUUGCAAAACUCCGCCCGGCUUAAGUCACUUUAAUCAGGUUCCAUCCACGAUAGCACAUAUAGACCAUCGUGAUCCGACAUAACCCUAUAUCGCGUGGAUGACAGGAUAUCACCCGACUUCUACCGAUUAAAGCAUAUCUAAGCUGCUACUCGAUCCUAACUCUACAACCAGGGAGGGUGAGUUAUCUGGACAAGGAUAGAGUAGAAUGCAGCAACAGUUUCAUCACAACUCCUAGACUUAAUGCGUCAAUAGGUAUAACAUAUUAAGUAAACUUUCGAAAAUAGAAGGAGACUUAGAAUGCUCCGGGGCUUGCCUUUCACGAACGAUGCCGGCUCGUGAUUCGGGCACUCAACUUCUUCUUCGGGCUCCUCGAGUCCGGCUUGCUGGACCUCCACCUCCUGGCUGCCCUCCUGACCUUCGGGAUUCGCUUGGAGCUCGAAGGAAACUGCCACGUCCGGUGCACCUAUUGCAUGCUCGAACGAUAAGAUAAUGCACAUGCUAACGAUGAAUGCUUAAUGACACAAGCAACUCACUGGACACUCAUUUACGGACAAAAGUUAUACUAACUCGCAUAAUUGAACAAGUUAACAUAACCCAAAACCUUUCAAGACACUAAGGCAGCAAACACACAAACAGAGAGGCUCAGUAAAUAAAUCAUAACUAAAGAUAGGCAGGUCCAACAAACAUGAGUAAGGACAUUCUGGAAAUCUUAUGAAAUGGUCUACAAUUAAUCUUUAAACAUGACAGCAAGAUUCAUACAUGAGACUGGUCAUUUAAACAAAGUUCCAGGUUCUGUCCCAGAAAAACAGAGAACACCUAUUCCUGGAACCCAACUUGAAACAGCUAUAACUUUUAAACUACUUGGCCAAACGACCUCAAAUUUAAACCAUAGUUAGUUCAACAAGUUUGGAACAUCUUUGCUUUAGACAAGUUCCACAGAAAGUCAAGUUAUCAUUAAGUAAUAACCAAAUUGCUACCUUGCUGUCCAGAACAGCAUUUAACCCUAUAGUUAAUUAUUUAAUGACAUGAUCAAGACACAAACCAUGCCAACCACAUGGCCUAUGAGCACAAACCUGUUACAAGGUUACCAGAUCAUCAGAUGGAAACCCCAAAACAUUUAUUUAACAAGGCAUUUAUUAAUUAACUCUAAAUAAGAGCAUAAUUACAAGAUACUAGUUCAAAUGCUCAGAAAAAUCUACAAAAAUUACAGAAGCACAAGGACACCAUCAAAGUAUCACCAUAAAAAUUUCACAGCAAUUGCACAUACCAAAAUAAAGAUAUGUAUUUAACACGUAUCAAGGCAUUUAUUUCAUAAAUUUAGAAACAAUACUUAUAUGGUGUUAAACAACAGAUUUCAGAUUAUUUACAUCUUAGGAGUACCAUAAACAAACUUACCACCAAAGUAGAACAUCAGCAUAAGCACCAAUUAUUUUAUAUGAUUUAUUUAAAGAAACAAGCCAUAUCUCAAACACAAAUUACGUAUCCCAACUGCAGUGCUCUAAAAAUCAUGAACUAAUUAUCAGAGCACUCUAAUGCCAUGCAAAGGCUACCAUAAAAUUUUCAAAGCAAACUAAGCAGUAUAACAAGAGAUAUGCAUUUUUCCAUAAAUAACAAGAUUAAAUCCUUAAUAAAUGAUUUCUCAGAAAACAUGAUUCAUUUUAUAUUUUUAUUAAAUACUAGCCAUCUCAAGAAACUCCACAAAAAUUUGUUUCACAAUUUUUGGAUCUCAGAAACCGGAGAUAUGAUUUUUGCAAGAAAGCCAAAAAUCAGGAUUUUGAAUAAAAGAAAAGGAGGGAAAGAGAGAGUCGCUGACAGUGGGUCCCAUCUGUCAGGCUCUUCUUCCUCGCGGCCGAGGCGACUUUCGCCGGCGAUUUCUCCGCGACGGCGAGGUCUCCGGCCAAGCCAAGGGCAUCAGCGUGAUCCCCAAACCCUAACGACUCGAUUGACCCCACUUUUCCCACGGCGGAGCCACCGGAAGAGGCUCGCCGUCGACAAUGGCGGCUCGGCGGAGGUGCUCGGCGUUACGCCGGAGCCCUCAGGCCGGUAGAGCGCGACCUAAGGCCUUCUACAGCACCAGCGGACUACGGCGAAGCUUCCUAGGUGCGCGGCUUGGCCUGGAUCCCCGUGGAACGCGCUGGCCACGAGAGCACCCAACUCCGGCGGAAGCACGGCGGCGCUGCGCACCGUGUCCGGCGACGGAGAACCCGGUAGAGCGUCCACCAGGUGGCGCAAAAGCUCGCUAAGGACCUAAGCUACCUCUAGGACCUAACCAAAGACGAUGAGAAGCCUCACAGCGCUCGGCAUUGAGUUCGCCGGAGAAGAAGGUCACGGCGAACCGAUUUGGGGGAAGAAGGGAAUGUCGGCUCACCGGUGGGUUUCUCGGCGAGUUAGAGGGUGGAGCUUGGAGAGCGGCUCACAGCGGAGCUUUGGGUGGAGUUUGGUGGACGGAGGCGCAGUGAGGAGCGCACACGAGCUCGCCGGAGUGAGCUCGCGGCGGAGAGCUCGCUGCGGGCGAGUUUCAGGCGAAGGAGGGCGAGGCAGAGCGAGUGGACGCGUCCACUUCGCUCGGGACGUCGCCGUGGAGGUCAUGCACGCGACGAGGGCUGACAAGCGGGGCCAGGAGCAGCGUGCGGUCGACAAAUGGCGACGGAGCUCUGCCGGCGGUCGGCCACGUCGACGAGCUCAGGCUCGAUUCAGAAGAAAGGGUGCUGGUCUGACAGAGCCACUUCACCGGCGAUUAUCUCCCAAACCAGAGCGAAUUAGAAGAUGGCGUAGUUGACAAACUUGGAGAACUAAGCGAGAUCUACAACUUUGUCAACUGCAGCAAGAGCUAGAUUGGCUUGGAUUGAGAGUUAUGAAGUUUUCAAAAUCAAUCGAGCAAACUUGUUUCGUUCCAAGACUUAGAAAAUUUUCUAAGUGUUGAAAACAGCCCCAAAUCUGCCUUGUAGGUCACUUUUGAGCUAUUUGUGAUCAUUUUCAUGAGAUGGCCAUAAAACAGCUUUUGUUCCUUAUAAUAUUUGCUACAACUUUACUGUAGAAAGUUUUGACAUGCAAGCAUUUUAUGAAACACUUUUUAAAAGCCUAAGCAAAAGAGGUUUCUAGGGUCUAUUUUCAUAAGUAUGACUUAAAAGCAUAUUUUGGAAAAGUGAUCAACAUGAACAUUGUUCCCAAGAUUAAGUUAAGCAUAGAUAAACUAAUUACCAAGGCAUUAAGCACAAACACAAGCAUUGUUCACUCAAACAUAAGCAUAGGAAGCCUAUUUAAGCAAUUUAAAACACAUUUUUGCAUAGAAUGACAUGGCUCAAGAUAGAUGAUGAUCAUGAUAUGCUUUGAGUAAAUCAUGAUGCUCAUGCUAUGCACAUGCUUGAUGCAACCAUAACACUGGGGUGUUACAGCCCUCCCCCCUUACAAAAAUCUCGUCCCGAGAUUUGAAAGCUUACUGAUUUUCGAAGAAGGUUUUGUAAACUUCUUUUAAAUAAUCCUCCGUCUCCCAAGUGGCAUCUUUUUCCCCGUGGUUACUCCACAACACUUUGUAGAGCUUAACCACACGAUUACGCGUCUCCCGUUCCUUGCGAUCAAGAAUCGCUAUGGGUUUCUCCUCAUACACCAAGUCUGACUUCAACUUGAUAUCUCGAAUUUCCACUUGUUCCUCUGGUACACGAAGGCACUUCUUCAAUUGUGAUACGUGGAAGACAGGAAAAAUGGCUCGAAGCGCAACUGGGAGUUGAACUUUGUAUGCCACAUUCCCUUUCUUUUCGAGAAUCCGAUAAGGUCCCACAUAGCGAGGUGCAAGCUUUCGCUUGACUCUGAACCUUUGUACACCCUUCAUCGGAGACACCUUGAUGUACACAUGGUCACCAACUGAAAACUCAAUCGGCUUCCUUCUCUUGUCGGCAUAACUUUUCUGACGAGCUUGAGCAGCUUCCAGAUGUUGCUGGAUAGUACGGACUUUCUGCUCUGCUUCGUUCACGAAAGCGAUGCCAUAGUAUCUUCGCUCUCCAGCUUCUACCCAAUUCAGCGGGGUUCGACACUUUCGACCGUACAGGGCUUCAAAUGGAGCCAUCUUGAUACUCUCCUGGUAACUAUUGUUGUAGGAGAACUCAGCUAAUGGCAACCACUUAACCCAAGAACCUUUUGAUGAGAGAGCACAUGCCCUCAACAUAUCUUCAAGGAUCUGGUUAACUCGUUCAGUUUGACCUGCUGUUUGGGGAUGAUAAGCAGAGCUGCGGACCAAAUGAGUACCAAUCUGCUCAUGAAGACAUUCCCAAAAACGAGCAGUGAACUGCGGUCCACGAUCAGAUAUGAUUGUUCGAGGCACACCAUACUGUCGAACAAUGUGCUCGAAAUACAACUCCGCAUACUGAUGGGGACGAUAGUCAGUUCGGACUGGAAUAAAUGGAGCAACCUUGGUCAAACGAUCUACAACCACCCAGAUGGAGUCGUAACCCUUAACAGAAAUUGGGAGUCCACUGAUGAAAUCCAUGCUGACUUCUUCCCAUUUCCAACCAGGAAUUGACAAGGGUUGAAGCAAACCAGCUUUCAUGUGAACAGCCUUCACCCGACAACAAUUGUCACAACGAGCGACAAAAGCAGCUAUCUCCUUUUUCAUCUUUGUCCACCAAAACAAAGGUUUCAGAUCCUGAUACAUCUUGCUACUACCAGAAUGGAUAGACAUUUUGGAUGAAUGAGCUUCAGAUAGGAUCUGAUUUCGCAGCUCGCGGUCUUUUGGGACCACAAGUCGAUCCUUGAACCAAAGAAUUCCGUUCUCAUCAACUCGGAAAUGCUUGGUUUCUUCUUCCUUCAUUUUCCUCUUUAUAUGGUGGAUGCCUACAUCUGUCUGCUGCAAUUCGAUAACUCGAUUGCGAAUGGUACUCUCUAGAGAAAUCUGGUGGAGUACAAGCGGAUGCAUCAGAUGUGACAACAACAGAUCUUCCACUUGAAUUGAGUGACAGUGCGCUUUCCGACUCAAGGCAUCCGCCACUACGUUUGCCUUGCCCGGAUGAUAGUGCACUUGCAGAUUAUAAUCUUUAAUCAACUCAAGCCACCUUCGCUGCCGCAUGUUCAGUUCAGGUUGAGUGAAGAUAUACUUGAGGCUCUUAUGAUCGGUGUAAAUAUUACACAGAUUACCCAGCAGAUAAUGCCUCCAGAUUUUCAAAGCAUGAACAACUGCUGCCAAUUCUAAGUCAUGAGUGGGGUAAUUGACCUCAUGCUUUCGAAGUUGGCGCGAGGCAUACGCGAUAACGCGACCUUCCUGCAUCAACACACAGCCUAAACCAAUGCCUGAUGAGUCAGAAAAGACAUCGAAAGGCUUCCCGAUAUCAGGUUGAGCUAGGACAGGAGCUGAUGUCAACAGUGUCCUCAACUUGUGGAAUGCCUCUUCACACUCAGGUGUCCACACAAACUUUUCAUCUUUCUGAAGUAGACGAGUCAUAGGCUUGGAUAUUUUGGAGAACUCUGGAAUAAAUCGACGGUAAUACCCAGCCAGACCGAGAAAACUCCGAACCUCGUGUACCGAAGUUGGAACUUUCCAAUCCAGCACUUCUUGCACCUUAGCCGGAUCCACCGAUAUGCCUUCUUCAGAUAAGACAUGGCCCAAGAAAGGUACUUUCUUUAGCCAAAACUCGCAUUUGCUAAACUUUGCAUAAAGCUGAUGUUCGCGCAAACACGACAACACUACACGCAGAUGCUCUGCAUGCUCCUCUUCAUUGCAAGAAUAUACCAAGAUAUCAUCAAUGAAGACCACCACAAACUUGUCCAAUUCGGGCAUGAACACCGAAUUCAUAAGAUACAUGAAAUGAGCAGGUGCAUUUGUAAGGCCGAAGGACAUGACAAGGUACUCAUACAACCCAUAUCUCGUCGAGAAAGCCGUCUUAGGUAUAUCUUCGGGACGGAUCUUGAUCUGAUGGUACCCAGAUCGCAAAUCAAUCUUGGAGAAUACCUUAGCUUUGGACAACUGGUCAAACAAGAUAUCAAUGCGAGGAAGAGGGUAUUUGUUCUUGAUAGUCACCGCAUUUAGGGGACGAUAGUCCACACACAUGCGCAAAGAUUGAUCCUUCUUCUUCACAAAGAUAGCCGGACAACCCCAAGGAGAUGAACUAGGACGAAUAAGACCCUUCUGCAACAACUCAUUUAGUUGGGUCUUAAGCUCAGCUAAUUCAUUGGGCGGCAUCCUAUAAGGUCUUCUAGAGAUAGGAGCGGUGCCUGGAAUCAAUUCAAUUUUGAACUCCACAUCCCGAUCCGGAGGAAGCCCGGGUAGAUCAUCAGGAAAAACAUCCGAAAACUCACACACCACCGGAAUAUCCUGAAUAGCCUUAGAUGUAACUGCAUUCACAGUGCUACGGAUUUGAAUAUCAUGAGGGAGUUGCACUAGAAAUGCCUCCUUGGUAUUUGGGUCUUUCAACAUCACUACACGAGUGGUGGUGUCUAUAAGAACUCCAUUACCACUCAUCUACUUCAUCCCCAGAAUUACAUCUAUGCCCACACCGGGUAGAACAACCAGAUCAGCAAGAAACUGACGGCCUCCUAUCUCUAGAGUUGCCCCCAAAACCACUUGAUUGGUGGAAAUAUCAUUUCCCGCAGCACUAAUACAAUAACUGCCCUUAUCAAGUGUGAUGGUCUUGAUGCUAUGUUUAGAUACAAAUUCAGAACUCACAAACGAAUGCGAUGCUCCAGAAUCAAAAAGCACAAGUGCAUCAUGUUGAUUGACCAGAAACUUACCAGCCGUGACUACCUCACCAGCAGGGAUUGCCUCCACAGUUGUGUAAUGAACACGCCCCUGACGGACGUUCCCCUGGUUGCCCUUCUUUGGCGGGUAAGGACAGUUGCUCUGCCAAUGCCCGGUCUGAUUGCAGUUCCAGCACGGACGGUUGGCAGGUGGAGUCUUGGCAUAGUUGGGACCCGUGUUGCCCUUAGGAAGAGCAAUAGAGUACCCCUUGCGAAAACCCGUCUUUGCCUGAUUCUUCUUCACCGGAGGGCGGUAUCGCUGGUUGGGGGUUGGAGCACGGAAUGGUGGCUUAGCUACCACGGGAGCCUUGGACUGAGAUGACCCAGCACUGGCCUCAAAAGCCCUCUUGCGAGUCUUGGUCGCAGUGUACACAGUGUUAUAGUUCUCUUGGGUGAGAGCAUCACUGACAAACUCAUUGAAAGUUGCACACUUAGAGCGGCCCAUAGUCUUCAGCAAUUUGGGACCCAAACCCCGCUUGAAACUAGCGAUCUUUUUCGCCUCCGUGUUCACAAACUCAGGAGCAUAUCUAGACAAGUGAUUGAAAGCAUGCAAAUACUCCUUCAGAGUCUUGUUGCCCUGAGUCAACUGCAUGAACUUGGUGUGCUUCAUCUCCAUAACACCCGGAGGAAUGAAAUGCCCUUUGAAAGCCUCACGGAAAAGAUUCCAAUCAAUCACCGUGUCAGCCGGUAGAGCUUCCCGGUACUGAUUCCACCAGAUGCCUGCCGGUCCUUGCAGUUGGUGAGCUGCAUACUCCGCCUUCAAACCUUCAGUCAACCGAAGUAGGCGAAACUUUUGUUCCACCGUAUUAGCCACUCUUCAGCUUGAAGGGGUUCUUCAGCUUCUCUGAAAGGUGGGGGCUUCGUAUCCAUGAAGUCCUUGAAGCUACUGUACUGGUUAGGAGCUGGCCCUUCCUGUGCAUUACGGCCACCCUGAUUUGCCAUACGAUUGAUGGUCUCAGUGAGCAUCCUCUGAUUUUCCACCAUCAUUUGCAUCAGCUCAGCUGGAUUUGGUGGUGGAGGAGGAGGAGGUGGAUUCAUGUUUGCACGCUGUUCCGCACCCCGGGUGCCACGAGACAUCUGUAAAGACACAGUCAGUGAGUAUUGAUGAUGACAAGAUUUGCCGUAGAAGAACUUAUAUUCAUGCCUGAAAGUAUUCGAGAGAAUAGCUUUAUAGAAAGGCACAACAAUUCCAUUCCACAAAACAACAUCACCAAUCCAACACAUGACAUAGACAUCCGCAAUACGCACCACAACGGAAAACAUCGGCAUAACAUAACGAUCAUAAAGACUGCACAUAGGGUCCAUAAAGUUAUUACACCAACACAGUACAUGCCAUGAGUCAAGGUCAAAGUUUCGGAUUACAACAUGGUUACAAAAGCACCACAGCCGACUGGCAUACUACAAAAGAUCCUUGGGUCACACUACCCACUACUCCCUACACUCCAGGCUCGUCGUCCGAGUCAGCGUCGAAGAUCGCCUCUCCAUCCUCGUCGCUAACCGGCUCAAGCUCCUCGUCCUCCACGUCCUCGUGUAAAGGUGGUGCAGCAGCUGCUGGUCCAUCGACCUCCAUACCAUCAUCAUCGGCCACAAUCACCUGAGGUCCUACCUCGGGAUACACGGGUAUAGGGCGAGGAACAGGGUGUAGCAAGUUGUUGAGACGGUGAAUCUCCAGAAGACCAGCCUCAAUCUGAUCCUGCAGAUAGUUCUCCCGCUCAAGCGACUGAACUCGGUGCAUCUCCCAUGCUUGGCGCCUGUUCUCCGACACACAGAGUGCAGUAUCCCUCUCACGGGUGAGCUGCACCAAGCGCUCCUGCAAGGUCUCCUUCUCUCUAGCUAACUGGCUCACCUGAUCCUGCUUAUGAUCUCUCUCUCUGAUGGCCUUCACCCACUGUUGCCUACGAUACUCCGCAAUGUCUUCCCAGUCAUUGCGGUCCUUCUGAGCUUGCUCCAGGAGUCUAGCUUGCUUGCGAAACUUGCGAGCACGCCUUUCAGCCUUUCGCUGCAUCUCCUAGGCCCUGCGAACAGCCAUCAUCACCUGUGCAUAGGUGCCCUCUCGCUGACUAAUCAGCUUGAGCACAGCCAUCAUAGCACUCAUAGCAGGACUAGUACUCUCAGCUCUCUCUCCCCUGCCUCGAACCAAAGCACAACCAUCAGCCUGUUUCCAUUCCGCGGCUGCUGGGUCAGCACUAGGAAUGGAGGCCGCUGGUCCUCCCGUCAGCUCGUCACAACACCUCUGACAGAUAUCGAGCAGGAUAGUCUGGGCUGCAACCUGAGCUGCCUCCCAAGGAGUCUGCCCAUCAGAGCUGGAAGUCCAGCCUGUCCAUGCAGGCUUGUCCCCAUGUGGAGGGACAACUCCCUGCACAGCAAACCACUGGAUCCCUCCUGUGCUCUCCAUCUCCCACCAAGAAUACUGAGGUGGCUCAGUAUACCCAACAGUCCGUAACACUCUCCAGAGCAGGGUAGGAGUGCCAAACUCGUGCAAGAAAGUGUCACAGGGACGAGGUGAAGCGGGUGCGUCCAUCUGUGGAAGGGAAUAGGAACACCACGGGUAACAGAGGAUUAGUUAAGCAAUCAUUCAUUUAUUGAAAAGGGACGAAAUUGUAAGGGAAGGAGUAGACAGAAUGUAUGUAUGAAUGCGACAUGAUGCAUGCACGAACCGUACGUCCUCACAAACUUAGAAAAUUAAUAUUCUAACGGAUAUACGGUGGCAUACAUUCGUCUCUCGAUACGGUAACUAUCGGUUUACACGUGCGCUGUCAGAGUACCUACAGAAAACUUCAUUUCAGCCCAACAGUUCCCAAUAUAUAUCACUCAAGAAAGCAGUAAACUAAGUGCACAUUGCUCGGACAUGCCCAACAUGCCCCAAACAAUGACACCACAACUACCCGAGAAAUUAAAUGCUCCCCAAUUAAGUUUCUUUCGUGGUUUCAUGGUUUCGACAUGUAACCACUCCAGAAAACCACCGCGAACACUCCCUUAGACCGCCGUUUGGACGAUCAUGCUCUCACAGCUCACACUUACCCGAGCGUAGGUGCGACGUUACAUAAUUUAAAUCUAGCGACAUAUGUGGCUAAUUCACAUAUGAAGGCUACCUCCACCAUUAGACCACAGGGUAGCAUAGUGCGGUCAUCACACAUCCAUACCUGAGUACUGCCGGAGAUGCAUAAAUAAACCCCCCCCCCCAAGUCAGUACUUAAAUAGCCACCUAUAGUCCUUAUGUGGGCAAGGAGGAUUCGACCACUGGCAUAACUUAAUUAUUUGUUUUACAGUAUUUUAUUUAAAACUCUUUUGUUUUAAAUACACAAACGCUGCAUUUAUAAUGCUGAACUUGCUCCGAUGCCAGCUGUCACAGAACCGACCAAAUUAUAAGAGUUCAAGUGCAGAAACGAUCGUCAAACAAUUAAGUUUCUAAACUUGAGCCCAUAUAAUCCCGGUAGUCAAUCGAAAUCACGAAGGACUUCAAACCAACUCGCAACAAACCAAGAUCGUAAUAGUUCAACAUAAACACAACGAAUGUUACAUAGUCAGUCAUUGCCGAUGAAGUGGCACCACAUCGGAGUCAUUAAGUUAUUACAACCCAAGUCUGAAGUAGCGGAAGCAAAAUAGUUACACACACUUGUUCAAAGUUCAGUUCACAAGUUUUGUUACUGCCAGAGUCUAUGCCAUCCUUCCAAAAGCAUCAUAGACGAGAAGAGUAGAGAACCGUGCCCAACGGUUAGUCCUCAUCCCCAGCGGGAUGGAGACAGGUCUUGCAGAAACCGUCAUAGAAGAUAUCAUCUGCUAUAGGUGGGAAUAAACCCUGAGUACGAGGAUGUACUCAGCUAGGCUUACCCGUCUAGUAAAACACAAAAGACACCAAGGAUCAUGCAAGGCUAAAUCUUAGGUGGAGUUGGUUGACUCACCUUUUGCCAAAAGCUUAACUUACAACUAAGUUAUUUUAAGAGCAUCAUAUUUAUUUAUCAUCAGCCUACCACUAGAUUAGCACCUGUACUACAACACAUCACUUGAUUAUUACAAACAAUAAUAACCAUAUCAAAUUCAUCAUAUGUUCUUCUUGCUAUCAUCAUUAUCAUGAACCAAAUUCAUUAGUGAAUGCUACGUUUGCCGCUGCUCUGUCUAGUUCUCACUAACCGGGAGAGACGGCGAUUCGAAUCGAAUUCCUAUCCAGGUGGAGGAUUAUUCCUAGCACUCACCCAGGCAUCCCCUGCCGGAGAGCCCACGGGUCACCUUUGGUACAACUCAGAAAUCGCGGUUCCGAUCAGCGCCGCACUCCCAGGGCUACCACUCUGCCAGGGAGGUCAGAAAUUUUAACUCACCUGCCUUUGGACUUACGCCAAUGGUCCCCCGCACACCGCACUUCCUCCGGUAGUGCGCACUUUAUACUUGCCGGUCUUCCGGCCUGAGUCAUACUACUCGGCUUCGCGGUCGGAACGAGUUAUCCGGCCAACUAAGUGUUAGGCAUGCGUUCAACAUGACAAGAGGACGUACAACGAUCAGUCCUUAGCUGCCACAGACGGAGUUACUACAAACUUGGAAAACUCUGCCCGGCUUAAGUCACUUUAAUCAGGUUCCAUCCACGAUAGCACAUAUAGACCAUCGUGAUCCGACAUAACCCUAUAUCGCACGGAUGACAGGAUAUCACCCGACUUCUACCGAUUAAAGCAUAUCUAAGCUGCUACUCAAUCCUAACUCUACAACCAGGGAGGGUGAGUUAUCUGGACAAGGAUAGAGUAGAAUGCAGCAACAGUUUCAUCACAACUCCUAGACUUAAUGCGUCAAUAGGUAUAACAUAUUAAGUAAACUUUCGAAAAUAGAAAGAGACUUAGAAUGCUCCGGGGCUUGCCUUUUACGAAUGAUGCCGGCUCGUGAUUCGGGCACUCAACUUCUUCUUCGGGCUCCUCGAGUCCGGCUUGCUGGACCUCCACCUCCUGGCUGCCCUCCUGACCUUCGGGAUUCGCUUGGAGCUCGAAGGAAACUGCCACGUCCGGUGCACCUAUUGCAUGCUCGAACGAUAAGAUAAUGCACAUGCUAACGAUGAAUGCUUAAUGACACAAGCAACUCACUGGACACUCAUUUACGGACAAAAGUUAUACUAACUCGCAUAAUUGAACAAGUUAACAUAACCCAAAACCUUUCAAGACACUAAGGCAGCAAACACACAAACAGAGAGGCUCAGUAAAUAAAUCAUAACUAAAGAUAGGCAGGUCCAACAAACAUGAGUAAGGACAUUCUGGAAAUCUUAUGAAAUUGUCUACAAUUAAUCUUUAAACAUGACAGCAAGAUUCAUACAUGAGACUGGUCAUUUAAACAAAGUUCCAGGUUCUGUCCCAGAAAAACAGAGAACACCUAUUCCUGGAACCCAACUUGAAACAGCUAUAACUCUUAAACUACUUGGCCAAACGACCUCAAAUUUAAACCAUAGUUAGUUCAACAAGUUUGGAACAUCUUUGCUUGAGACAAGUUCCACAGAAAGUCAAGUUAUCAUUAAGUAAUAACCAAAUUGCUACCUUGCUGUCCAGAACAGCAUUUAACCCUAUAGUUAAUUAUUUAAUGACAUGAUCAAGACACAAACCAUGCCAACCACAUGGCCUAUGAGCACAAACAUAUUACAAGGUUACCAGAUCAUCAGAUGGAAACCCCAAAACAUUUAUUUAACAAGGCAUUUAUUAAUUAUCUCUAAAUAAGAGCAUAAUUACAAGAUACUAGUUCAAAUGCUCAGAAAAAUCUACAAAAAUUACAGAAGCACAAGGACACCAUCAAAGUAUCACCAUAAAAAGUUCACAGCAAUUGCACAUACCAAAAUAAAGAUAUGUAUUUAACACGUAUCAAGGCAUUUAUUUCAUAAAUUUAGAAACAAUACUUAUAUGGUGUUAAACAACAGAUUUCAGAUUAUUUACAUCUUAGGAGUACCAUAAACAAACUUACCACCAAAGUAGAACAUCAGCAUAAGCACCAAUUAUUUUAUAUGAUUUAUUUAAAGAAACAAGCCAUAUCUCAAACACAAAUUACGUAUCCCAACUGCAGUGCUCUAAAAAUCAUGAAAUAAUUAUCAGAGCACUCUAAUGCCAUGCAAAGGCUACCAUAAAAUUUUCAAAGCAAACUAAGCAGUAUAACAAGAGAUAUGCAUUUUUCCAUAAAUAACAAGAUUAAAUCCUUAAUAAAUGAUUUCUCAGAAAACAUGAUUCAUUUUAUAUUUUUAUUAAAUACUAGCCAUCUCAAGAAACUCUACAAAAAUUUGUUUCACAAUUUUUGGAUCUCAGAAACCAGAGAUAUGAUUUUUGCAAGAAAGCCAAAAAUCAGGAUUUUGAAUAAAAGAAAAGGAGGGAAAGAGAGAGUCGCUGACAGUGGGUCCCAUCUGUCAGGCUCUUCUUCCUCGCGGACGAGGCGACUUUCGCCGCCGAUUUCUCCGCGACGGCGAGGUCUCCGGCCAAGCCAAGGGCAUCAGCGUGAUACCCAAACCCUAACGACUCGAUUGACCCCACUUUUCCCACGGCGGAGCCACCGGAAGAGGCUCGCCGUCGACAAUGGCGGCUCGGCGGAGGUGCUCGGCGUUACGCCGGAGCCCUCAGGCCGGUAGAGCGCGACCUAAGGCCUUCUACAGCACCAGCGGACUACGGCGAAGCUUCCUAGGUGCGCGGCUUGGCCUGGAUCCCCGUGGAACGCGCUAGCCACGAGAGCACCCAACUCCGGCGGAAGCACGGCGGCGCUGCGCACCGUGUCCGGCGACGGAGAACCCGGUAGAGCAUCCACCAGGUGGCGCAAAAGCUCGCUAAGGACCUAAGCUACCUCUAGGACCUAACCAAAGACGAUGAGAAGCCUCACAGCGCUCGGCAUUGAGUUCGCCGGAGAAGAAGGUCACGGCGAACCGAUUUGGGGGAAGAAGGGAAUGUCGGCUCACCGGUGGGUUUCUCGGCGAGUUAGAGGGUGGAGCUUGGAGAGCGGCUCACGGCGGAGCUUUGGGUGGAGUUUGGUGGACGGAGGCGCAGUGAGGAGCGCACACGAGCUCGCCGGAGUGAGCUCGCGGCGGAGAGCUCGCUGCGGGCGAGUUUCAGGCGAAGGAGGGCGAGGCAGAGCGAGUGGACGCGUCCACUUCACUCGGGACGCCGCCGUGGAGGUCAUGCACGCGACGAGGGCUGACAAGCGGGGCCAGGAGCGGCGUGCGGUCGACAAAUGGCGACGGAGCUCUGCCGGCGGUCGGCCACGUCGACGAGCUCAGGCUCGAUUCAGAAGAAAGGGUGCUGGUCUGACAGAGCCACUUCACCGGCGAUUAUCUCCCAAACCAGAGCGAAUUAGAAGAUGGCGUAGUUGACAAACUUGGAGAACUAAGCGAGAUCUACAACUUUGUCAACUGGAGCAAGAGCUAGAUCGGCUUGGAUUGAGAGUUAUGAAGUUUUCAAAAUCAAUCGAGCAAACUGGUUUCGUUCCAAGACUUAGAAAAUUUUCUAAGUGUUGAAAACAGCCCCAAAUCUGCCUUGUAGGUCACUUUUGAGCUAUUUGUGAUCAUUUUCAUGAGAUGGCCAUAAAACAACUUUUGUUCCUUAUAAAAUUUGCUACAACUUUGCUGUAGAAAGUUUUGACAUGCAAACAUUUUAUGAAACACUUUUUAAAAGCCUGAGCAAAAGAGGUUUCUAGGGUCUAUUUUCAUAAGUAUGACUUAAAAGCAUAUUUUGGAAAAGUGAUCAACAUGAACAUUGUUCCCAAGAUUAAGUUAAGCAUAGAUAAACUAAUUACCAAGGCAUUAAGCACAAACACAAGCAUUGUUCACUCAAACAUAAGCAUAGGAAGCCUAUUUAAGCAAUUUAAAACACAUUUUUGCAUAGAAUGACAUGGCUCAAGAUAGAUGAUGAUCAUGAUAUGCUUUGAGUAAAUGAUGAUGCUCAUGCUAUGCACAUGCUUGAUGCAACCAUAACACUGGGGUGUUACAUCUGUCAAUAAAAUGGUAGUUUGAAAUGUUUCCAAGAUCGGCAAAAAGAUCAAAUUCUAUAUCUAGCUUGGAAUCACGUGGUGGAAUUUCUUCCUUUUGUGGCUCAGAACUUGGGAUAGUUAAAGUAGAUAGAGAAUUUGACGGAGUGUCUACUUUAGCUUCGUAGGUUUCAUCAUGAAGCUUGUGGACCUCCUCGCCAGUGAUCUGACGCUUCUCGUCGAAGCGGCGUAAGCGUUGCUUCACUGGCUUUGAACCGGGUCGAAUCUCCAAGGAGUGCUCAGCGACUUCCCUCGGUAUGCCACGCAUGUCUGAGGGACUCCAUGCAAACAUGUCGGCGUUUGCACAGAGAAAGUCGACGAGCACGGCUUCCUAUUUGGGGUCAAGGUCGGCGCUGAUCGUCAGCACCUUGUCGUAAGAGCCGUUGGGGUCGAUUAGGAUUUUCUUCGUGCCCUUCGCUGGUUCGAAGCUGCCCACAUGGCGCUUAGGCUAUGGAGCCUCAGCAGCGAGGGCCUCGAGCCUCGAGGCGAGUUCGGCGGAGCUCUCGAUAGCCUCCGCAUACUCGACGCAUUCGACGUCACAUUCGUAUGCGUGCUCAUAGGAGGAGCUGACAGGCAUUCGACGCAUUUGACCCAUUUGACCCCCUUGGGCCCAGGCAUCUUCAGCUUCAGGUAAGUGUAGUUGGGGAUCGCCAUGAACUUGGCGUAUUCCGAUCGCCCGACGAUGGCAUGGUAAGUGCCUCGAAAACCCUCCACUUCGAAAGUGAGGGUUUCCUUCUUGAAGUUGGCCGCUGUGCUAAAUCAGACUGGUAGGUCGAUUUGACUCACCGGCAAUGCCUUCUUCCCUGGCACACCUGCGCUUGGUUGGAGCUGCGUCCUAUCGAUGCCUAGGAGGUCGAGGGUCCCGAGGUAGAUGAUGUUGAGGCUGCUGCUGCCGUCCAGCAGUACAUUUGAGAGUCGAGUGUUGACGAUGAUGGGGUCGACGACGAGCGGGUAGACACCAGGAGCGACCACCCUAUCGGGGUUGUCGUCACGGUCGAAGGUGAUGGGGGUGCUCGACCAGUUGAGGUACUGUGGUACUGCCAUCCUUGCCGCGAAGACCUUGCGGCGUUCCCUCUUACGCUGUCACAUGGUGAACUGCGUCGAAGGUCCACCGUAGAUCAUGUAGCAGUCAUGGACGGCAGGGAACCCUUCAUCUUCUUUGUUUCCCCCAUUGUCGUCGCUCUUGUCUUUCCUCUGGUCGUCCUUCCUUAGCCCCCGGCUAUCGAAGUACUUUUUCAACAUGCGACAGUCCUCGAGCUUGUGGUUGGCCCCUCCCUUGUGGUAAGGGCAGGGUUCCCUGAGCAUUUUGUCGAAGACGCCCCCCUCUGGGGGGCCUCGAGGCUUCUUACGCUCAACGGCGGCGACGAAAUCAUCGUUGAGAGCCUCCCGCUUGGUCGGUCACAUUUUCUUCUUGUUCUUGCUCUUCUUGGACCCUCUGCUAUGGCCUUCGUCAUUGUCCACUGGCGCUUUCCCCUUGCCGCCUUCAUGGUUGAAGAAACCGCUGACCGCCUCUUCACCAGCUGCAUAGUUUGCCACCACAUCCAUCAGCUCGUCGAUGGUUUGUGGUCGGUUUGGACCUAAUUCUGGCACCAAAUCCUGGCAUGUGGUGCCUGAGAAAAAGGCCAGAAUGACGUUGUGGUUGGGGAUGUGUGGGAGCUCGGUGUGCUGCUUUGAGAAGCAUUGAGUGUACUCUCGGAGAGAUUCUCUUGAUUUCUGCUUGCACUUGCUGAGGUACCAUGAAUUGUCGGGGCGUAUAUAGGUCGCCUUGAAGUUUCCUUCAAACACCCAGACCAAAUCUGUCCAGUCGUGGAUCUGGUUGGCAUGGAGUUCCUCGAGCCACCUACGAGCGGUAUCAGAGAGGAAGAGUGGCAACUGGCAGAUGAUAGCUCAUGUUGGGCAUUCUUAACGUCACUACCAAAAGUAGACUUAAUUUUCUAAUUCUGAUAACGGCGCCAAAAAUGCCAAACCUAUCCCUCAUGCCACUUAAGCCAAGUUGUCAUCCCCAGCAUGACAUAAGAGAUGCGGUAUUGAAAUAUGCAAUUGCUCUUCUAAAUAAAUAAUAAAUGGGAUCUGCAAGCGCACAGAUUAAUACCGAUGUAGCAUUUUAACUGGGAAUUAUUCUAGGUAUCGUUAUUUAUAUUUUUUACCAGUGGGAAGGGUUUGCUAAACAUCAAUGUUGAUUAUAGAAUAGAAUAUAGGAUUGAGUAUUUAUCAUUGCAUGUAUAAUUGAGAGCAUUUAUCUAUCUCUUUCAUACAUUGAUAAGUGUCACAUAAAAGAUAUAUAAAGUAUGAAUGGUGAUAAAGAUAAUUAAUAUGAUCAGCAUAACUUAGCCACAUAUAAAUAUGAUAAGCGCCUCAAUAGAUAUUCUAGCAAGUCGUUAGCAUGGAAUUAGGACGAACUACAAGAAUAUUUCCUAAGUCAUUCUCAACUAUAAAGUCUAGCAUAUCAUAGUUAGUGCAAUUAUAUUUGGCAAUCAUUGCGAGACAGGACUACGCCCAUGCAUAGUGGUAUUAUCAAGGAAUAUGAGAAACAUAGCAGUCACUCCCCUGUAAUAAUGUUUCUCUGCCAGCCCUAUACACGAGAGGGGGACUAUAUAAGAAUCAAUGGAGCUGUCACUACCACGAACUACCCCACGAUCUAGCAUAUAGGAUACAAUCGCAUAUAAAUACGGUAUGGGCACCAUGCCUACACAAUACUUAUCAUUUACCCACUGUACACAUGGAUAAACGCUAUAUGAUCCUAAACAUGUAUAUAAUUCCAAUCUAACUAAGCCAAGCAUAUAACUAUGAUAAACUAAGAACAAUAUAAUUGCGAAUAUAAACAAGUAGAGCAAAGUCAUAAUCAAUAUAUUGAAGUAGAACAAAGUCAUAUUCUUAAUAUGGAAGAAAAAAGAUGAACAAUUUAAGAACAGUAGAGAAUUACCAAGAAUCCUCCUGAGGCGUCCGGAAACCAAUCGAAGAUUGACUCCUUCUAGUUCUAAUUUUAUGUAGCUAUGCUAAACUAGAGAUCUAAUUGAUGUGGUGGCUCUAGGGCUUGAUCAGAGGCUUCUUCUCCCAAGAUGAAUAAUGAAUUAGGGGUCUGAGGUCCUCUCCUCCAGGGGCCAGAGGGUCUGGUUAUAUAGUCCUUCCAAGUGAAUACGGGCCGUUGGAUCAAACCGACAUUAAUCGCACGGUUUUCCUUGAUCCUUUAGGUCGGUGGAGCAUGAUCCGCGAGAUUGAAGCUGAUUGGCCCCGAGGCCAGGGCGGGCACCCAAGGGGGGAGGGCGGGCGCCCUGCCCUGAGCCCGUCCGGUCUCCCGUUCAUUCCCGUGGCUUCUGGACUCUUCUAGAUGUAGGAUAAUUGCGCGGCACGUUAAUAUCUCUAUGUAAACCCGACGUGUGGGCCUUUCUUCCAUAAUUCCUGAUAUCCCCCUGCAGAAAUAGACAAACACCAAAACUCGUGGAAUUCUGUCGGAUAAAACCCUAAGUCUGGAUGUUGGUUGCAUUUGGAUCCUUUUCUUUGUUUAUUUGAUAAUUAAAUUUGAUACUUAAGGACCAUCAACAAACUCCCCCAAGCUUACCUCUUGCUCGUCCCUGAGCAAGGAUAAUUUCAGUGUUGGAUUAGAAGUUGCUACAAUACCUUUUAAAAAUUAACGGUACACAUGCUUUUAAAUAAGGUCUCAUCUCUGAGUGAGAGUAAACUGUCAAUACUUAAAACUUACUUUACCUUUCACCAUGGGACUUGUAACCGUCACUUCUGUCUUGAGCAGUUAAAAGAUAGAACGGUCUAGUCAAGUGUCAUGUCUCUUAUUCUUCAUCAGCUAUAGCUCUGGAGUUUUUGCAGAUUUUCAAAUAAAACUCAGAGAUUCCUUGUAUGAUUCUCUCAGAUCUCUCUUUUGUGGUAUUUCUGGAUCCUUACCAAGACAGUGAUGGUAUAUGCCUUCUCUCUCAAAAUAUGUGGUAUUUGUGGUAUAAGCCAUAGUGACAUUGCCUUCUCUCUCACCCUACUCUAAUAAGACUUUUGAUAUCUAGAGCUCAUAGGUGGGAGAUAAAGUAUACAUACUUACAAGACAUUUAUUGUAUAGUCAAACCAUGGAUCCAAAGAAACAAGUCAAUAAGUCAAAUCAAGAUGUGCAUGUGUGGCGAAUGAGUGGUGUAUGGUGAUGAUGGUGGUAACAAUGGUGAAAGUCCAUUUAUACUUGUGCUCUUUUGAGGGGAUACAUACCUUUCUUGCUCUUUUGAAACUUUUGAGGAGAAUGAGAUGCUCUAUAUUUUCUUUUUCUUUCCUCUCAGGUGGGUAUCUUGUACCCCUAAUUCUACUGUCAGACACUUGUCCAUUUUUACAUCUCAUCUCACUUUUUCUUUUCUUUCGAGGUUCCGGGCAGUUGCCCCUUUUUAUUUCCUCGUAACUUUUUUUUAGAGCACUCAUUUCCUGAAAUAAAUAGCAAGUGGUAGUAAUCAAGAUAACUUGAGCAUUUCUUUCGCAGGGGAAAACAGAAAUGUUUUUGGCUAUUCUCUCCUAGAUUAGGAGUAGAAUAUUUUUUGGUGGCUCUGGAGAUGGAAAUGGGUGGAUAUAUGUGGAUGCGUACUUUCGGAGUAGAAGCAGCAUGUGUGAGUGAACGUGCAAGUGAAUCUUGAUUUAACCACAUGACAAGCUCCUAAGGGUCUACACAGCUUGACC
rnacentral:lncRNA from 1 species